GAGCGUCCGGUCCAUCCACCUGAUGAUGUCGGCGGCGAUCUCGUCGCGCUCGGGUUCGAAGAGCAGGUCGUGCAGGAACCCCUCGUACAGCCGCAGGUCCUUGUGCCUCGACGCCGCCUCCCUGUAGAGCUCCUGCGAGGCCAGCGGGUCCGUCACCCGGUCCGCCGUGCCGUGCAGGACUACAAACGGGACAGUCACCUUCUUCAGGUUGUGCAGCAGGUAGGAGGAGAUGCGCAGGAUCUCGUGGCCCGUACGGACCCUGAUCGGCCCCGUGUAGACCAGCGGGUCAGAGUACUUUGCUAGCAGCGCCGCAGGGUCGCGGGACACCGGGAUGCCCCGCUUGUUGGCUCCCUUGAAUUGGAACUUGGGUGCAAUCAGAGAGAAUAUCGGUGCCACUGCCUGCAUUUGAUUCAGAUGAGUCUCAGUGAUGAAACACGACUUGCCAUGCAGGUAAACCAAAAAUAUAUCGCGAAUUUUGAAGUUUUAAAUUUUGUGGAUGAAUUCAAAAGCAGAGCUUCUGAAAUAGCUCUACUUUUGAUAUGAGCGUACAAUAUCAAAAGUUCUCAAAUCAGCAUAAUUUGGAAUAAUAAUAGGAAACCAGAAUAGUUCUAUUACCCCGACUAUCGGAUGCGCUGGUUUUACACGCACAGCUGGUGAAGUCAGGAUGAUCCCUUCCAGUCUGGUUCUGAUAUGGGCGUACAGCGACGCCUGCAAGAUGACAGCUAGUGAUGAGCAACCAUGAAACAAGUAAGUUAAGCGUUGUUAAAUGAGCAUCGUUAGCCAAACCAUUUCAACCAGGCUAUUUUGUUAAUGCUUUGCACCACUCUCCGCCGUCAGGGUAUCCAUUGUUCACAGGCCCAGAGGAGUAGGGUCAGUGUCUAGAUCUGGCCUAAAUACCGAUGACAAAAAAGCGAUUUAAUUCGACAGGCCAUACCUUCAAAACAACAGCUCCACCAGUGGAGUGGCCGAGUAGAAAACAAGGAACAUCUGGAUUCUCCAGCAUAAUUUUAUCAAGAAGUACUUCCUGCUCAGAGAUGAUAAUAUUGCAUUACAUCAGCCAUCAGGAACAGUAGCAAGGAAAAAAAUAGUGUGCUAUACAAAACAACGUCGACCUUAAAAAUAUGCUAUUACCGUGUUAUAGCAUUGCCAUUAGCAAGAUAUUGUACACUGAUCAAUUUAGCGACACAAUUCUCUACACAUUAUACCGUGCUAUUAGCGGCGCUAUAUCGUGCUAUUUUUUUCAGUGAACAGAAUAGCUUUGUGCCUUCUAUGGAAAAACCUUGAACAGGAUGUAGAAGUAGGUGGACAGACAGAGACUUACCAUGUCUUUUAUAACAUAGUCCAGAGAAGGAACAUAACCGUGCAGACCAUCACUCCCACCAUGACCUGUUAUGCAGAAGCUCAAGUUAGCCUGUUGAUGUUGAAACGAAUGCAAAAUUCAGUAGGCAUGCUCACACCUCACAGGAACAAAGAGACUGAAAACCAUGGAUAAUUUUCUCGAAGCACUGCUAGAUUCAUGGGAAUGAGUUGCAAGGUAAGAAUCCACAACUAUGCGGGUACAGCAUGACAACCUUAGCAUCGUUGCUUAUAUUUUACUACCUCCUAUAAAAAAAACUACUAUCUGGUUCUAAAUGUUUGUCAUAAUAUUACCAAUACCAGAUAGCUAGCUAACACCUAGUUAGCUUGAUACCUACAUGAUCCACACACACACACAAAAACAAAAAAAAAAAAAAAAAACUAAGCACUCCCUCCGAUCCAUAUUAAAUGUCGCUGAUUUAGCACUGAUCUUCCACCAAACCAACCAUGUGUAACAUUUCCUAUAAUAUAGCAGAAGAAGACAUGUUCAGAAAACCACAAGUAGGUUUCCUUACCAAUCCAGUCCAUUGCAUAUACUCCAAAGCCACAUGACGUUAGCUGCUCGGCAAAAUGCAAAUACCUCCCACUGAAAAGCAAGAUCAAGAUGCAUUUAGUAAUGCCUCUAAUACAGGGAGGAUAUGAAAAAUAUAGGUGUGUCCACCAACAUGCUGGGGCCUGGAGGACUGGAGGGGACUGACUCAACAUGAUUUCCUUACCUAUGUUCAUUGAGCCCAUGUACGAUGAGCAGAAUGGCCCUGAAGCAAAAGAGGAAGAUAGUCAAUACAAAAUUGUGUCACUGCAAGUGAAAGAGAGGUUCAGCUUGAUGCUUCAAACUUCUCGUUUCUUAUGAAAGAGACUGAACAGAACCAUAAUCUUCAGAAGGUGUUCACACAUGUAGAUCCAUAAAACCAGUCAGCAAAAUUAGGGGUGGAGGAUCACCUAAAUUAGUUGUGAUUAUGUCAUUUUUCAACAUUUGUUUGCUGGGUUGUUUGACUAUUAUGCCAUUCAUAUUGAAAACAGAGUUGACGGUCAGCUCAGGCAACUACACACCGGGUCAUGUCAAGAAUAAUCAACACUUUGGUUGCACAAAGUGGGCGCAUUAAAGAAUUAAGAAAAAUCCCUCUGCCCCUUUCUUGAUAGCUAAGUUUUCCCGUGUCACAUGGAGACAUUACGUUAAGGUUUUUAUGGAGUAUUGAGAGAUAAGAAUGGAACAGAAGUUGGAGAUAAGUAUCAGCUUAUAUUCCUAAUCCGUUCCACUUUACUUGUUCCCCCUUUCCUGUAUUUCAAUGUUGCUUCACACCGUCCCAAAAAAAUUGCACAAAGCUAUCGUUAUUUUAGUCAACUAGCCCAGGUUCCGAAGGAGAGACGCGUACAAGAAAUAUGACAACCUAAAACAGCAGCUCUGCGAUGAGGACAAACUGCAUGCAUCAUCGUUGACAGGGGUAGGUAAUGAGUACGAAUGCAAAGAUAGGUGAAGAUCUGAAUUACAACGUGCAUCGCACGGCACGUCUCUUUAUGAGUAGAGCAGCAGACACAGCCUUCUGUAAAACACUAGGUCCAGGUAUCUAGUAAAGCACUCUAAUCGCGUGAUCAAAACCGCAGCUAGUAUGCAUGAUCUAAAUGCUCAACGUGCCUUGCCAUUACUACACUAGGAUCACCUAAACAGGAGCAGAAAAUUGCAACUUUAACUGAAAUUACCACCCGUUGGCAUCAGAGAAGAGUACCAAAGACGCAAGAGAACUAUUCACCACGCACAAUUCGCAAAUAAACAUAAUUUCUAAGGGAUCAAAGACCAAAAGAAAUCAUUUUAUAUUUUUGAGGGGAGGAAAUCCUUGUAAUAUUGUCAACAAAAUGCCCAGAAUUCUCCCAAAAAAACCUACGUGAUUGACUGAUUCAAAAAUCCCUUCAGGGUGAGGUCAAGUCCACGAACUACCGUUCCCCCACCGCUCCACCGUUAUGAUAUAGUACAGCCAAAGAAAAAAGUGGCGAGUAAAAGACCACGAACCACGAAAGCGAAAUCCACAGAAACGAACAAAAGGAAACCACCAAUUUCCACAGCGACCGAAACCCCCACGGUCCACGGAAGGCAAUUCAAUCGCACACGCCACGGGUCGGGCGGACGGGGCUCACCUCGUCUCCGUGCCGACCGCCGGCGCCCAGACGCGGCAGAAGAGCGCGUUCCGCCUGGCCCCGGCGAUGACGAACGUGCCGCACGUCCUCCCGUCCGCGUCCGAGUCGUCCUCCGCCAUGGGCACCUCCUCCGCGAGCGCCCGGCGGCGGCGCACGUCCUCCUCCUCCGCGGCCCUGCGCCUGCUCCUGGCCUUCCCGGGGCGGCCGGGCUCCGCCGGGCUGGCGGCGUCGGGGCGGCGGCGGCGGCCGACGAGGAGGAGGAGCCAGAGGAAAAGCGAGUGGAGCGCGACGGCGAGGCGGAGCAGCGCGCGGCGGGACAGCACGGAGCGGAAGACGGGCACGAUCCGGCCCGUGGCGCCCGAAGUCAUCAUCAUCUCGUCGCCGCCCAUCUCCAUGGCUCUCCCCCCCCUGCCGCUGCGCGUUUUUCGUGCUUUACUUUUUCUUCGCGUUUUACGCGGUCGCGGGCUUCGUGGGCCGCCCCCGCGUAUUUAUAGGGGAUGGACAUUUAGACUCUGGCGAGAGCGUGGCCUGCUGUUUCCUUCCUGGAAAUCCGUAUCCUCAAGUUGUUUUUUAUUCAUUUCCUGUUAAUACUAAUAAAUUUAUUUAAGAAGAGGAGUGAGGAGAUGGUGGUCCCAUUAACAGUUGCAACGGAUGAACAGUCCAGCUAACAGCUGUGCCAUGCCACGGUCCCACAUGUCACCCCUCUCACCCGAUUAGUGCAACAUUUAAACACCACAUAAUAUAGAGUAUACGAUCAGUUCGAUAUAUAUGGCACUAAAGGGAUACAGGUACUACAGUAGUAGAUUGCCUUCCCAACCAGUGUACAUACAUUCAUUAUUGACAAUAAAUUAUCGGUAUAGCUAUCCGGCAAACUCGCUGGGGUGAGAUCCCACCGAACACCCCUAGAGCCAACCGAUUUGGAUUGCAUGGUGGUAAUUUUCAUCAAAUAUCCAUGUAAAUUAAACAAAAUGACAUGGCAGUUUUCUAAAAUGUCACCCCACCACAUAAACUGCCACCAUUAAUUUUUCGCAUAUGCUAUCCCGACGUACGACAAACAACUAUCUUUACCUAUUACUAGUACAAAUGUCCGUCCGUUGCAACGGGUAAUAAAUUGCAAUACCUGCUACGCGUGCCCAGUGACGAAUCUUGGAAGAAAAUGAAGGGGACUCAAAGUUAAAUAUGCAUAUAGGAAGUCAAAAUCUCUCAAUUCUUUGGUCCAAAUAAGAUCAAAUGUUUUAUAGAAUAAUAGUAUUUUUUCUUUACUAUUUUUUGGAGGGGUCUCGAGCUUAUCGAAACCGUGCUAGAUUCGCCACUCCACGUGCCAUUACUCACCAUUUCUUACACCCAUUGUCAUAAAUGUGGUCAUAAGUUUAAAUUGAUUAUCACUUUUUGAAGCAUGAAUUGUGGAGAUGAAGAUAUCACCCUGAUAUCCUUCGUUUGAUGGAAGAGUAGUAGUACAUGGAUUAGUAUGAUUAAUCACUUGUCUUUGGAAAAACCUGUGUUGCAACUUGUGAAAACAAAUAUAUCAGAUGUUCCUUCCCACAGUAAGCAUGACUCGAGACCUCCACAAGCCCAUACAAUUUAAAAACACAUCCAUUUGUAUUUCCACUUAUUAUUGUCCUAGCCAUCCAUGACUUGCAGGCGUUCCGCACGGCUAAGCUUAGCCGCUCGAUCGACCUUGUCGGAGUGUGCACCUCGUUUGCCAGUCGACCCCGCCAGCGUAUUAUCCCUACGAGCUCUUUCUCAAACCUCCUUCAAAACAAUCACACCAGUUGGUUUAGUGCCCUUUCAAAUCAUCCUUUCUUGUUGAAAAAAAUGUGGACCAGUCUAGUUCAGCCCAUCCAGGAGUUAGGGGACAGAGCGACAACGGACCAAAACAGAUGAAAUUACGGAAGCAAGAAGUGCGUUGCACCAGGCGUAAAAGAGACACAACAUGCUUCAUGUGCCAUUAUGCACCAUUUUUAAUCCAACUUUGAUAAUCAUUAAUAAUAAGGUGAAAUUACUCAAGCAGCAACCUUGGAUCCGUCCUCACGCAAAUCAACAACCUCCAGGGGCCGGAGCCCAGCCAGACAUAGUUCUCCUUUCAGUUUUGGCACAACUUGCUAAACAAAUCACUAACUACAUUUUAACCAUGGUUGAUAUGAGUAAUAAGGGUCAUACAAAGAUACUUCAAAUGCUUGAUCUCCGCCACCAAAGAAGCAUACACAUACAUGUUUGUGUCCCUCCCAUUCAGAAUAUUCACCGCUGAAAAUGAGUAAAUCUCGAUGCAAGCUGGUACUUUCAUUUGUUAUAUAGCAAUAGAUAACUCCUUCAAGUUCGGACGUGAAGAAGCCAACAUACCAUUCUUCAUCCGAUGGAAGAGUAGUUUUGCAUAGAACAAUCGUUUUUCUUUUGUUUUUCUGAAAACACACAUAAUUCCUUAUUUUUAGUAAACUUAUCAUUUUCAUAAAAACUGGAACGCAUUAGCUUCCACCCACUCAUAUGAUGCAUGCAUCCGGAAUAUAUAUUUCUUCUUAUUCCAUACAUGAUACAUAAUAAUGUUACCAAGAUAGCUUGUCAGGCAACACUGAUACAUUGACACGACAAAAAAGAUAACUAUAUUCAUACCUUGUGAGUUAUAUUCUAAGUAGAAUAUAGAUGACGAAGAACCAAAGCUUCUAUGCAUACUCCUGACAAAAAGAAGAAAUAACAGUCAGCUUUAUGUAAAAAUCAAUUAUGUUGCAGUAAUAGAAAUAUAAGUUACGAAAGGCUGACCAGUUAUUCCUACCCACUAAACAAAUAUGUAGCACUAUCAACCAUAAGCAUUGCAUUAUUGCAUACGACUAAACUUGACAUAUAUAUAACACCGUGCGUCCAAACCUAUUUCAGCAAAAGAAAGAACAAUUCUUUUAGUUUGACUUGAUUUUUAUUAACAAGUAAAAUUGUUGGCAGUGUAGGAUGCCGAAUUUACAUGGACCAUAUCAACCACAAUAAGCUGAUGUUUGCUAUCAGUAUAAAUUUGACUUUCCCAUGUCUGGAUUGCAAGAAUUUUCACGAGCUUACCUGAGUACAAUGUCGCUGGUCCAUCUUCUUGGUAGAAACCAGAUGUGGUCUUGUUGCUGGAGUUUCACUCCGCACUGGGACAUUCCACUAUUGGACGCUCUCGCCGGAUUGGCACAACGACUUGUCUGGCCUCAUGACGAUAUCACUUGUCGUCGAGCCUGGAGCAUUAUACCAUGCUUAUAUCAAGACCCCCAAAACUAAGAUAAGAUACAUAGAAAUCUUAAGAGUAUGUGUCAAAACGACCUGACCAUGAAUUUCAAAAUAUGUUCCGAGGGAAAGUUAGAUAAGAAAAAUGCAGUAUUGUGUUAAUUACUUCCUUGCAUCAAUUGAAAUUGCUAACUCCUGCAGCUAAUUUCACAAAGGAAAGAAGAUGGCAAAAUAAUACAAAGUUUUCAUCCUAUAACCAUAAGUUAACUUGAAACCUGCUACUACCUUAAAAUUGUGGCUGGAGUAAUAUAGAAGCUAGCGUGGACGGACCAAUAUGUAGCAUAACUGCAGAAAAGAAAAAAAAUCUAAGGAGUAAGGACAAAUUAAGAGUGCUGGAUCUGGAGGCCUAUAUCAUAAGAUUUCAGUAGAGACAAAUUAAGAUCUUUAUAGAGAAAAUAACACACCUCUGAAAAAAAAGGAAGGACCAAACUAUGUCAAUGACGUACAUUACUAACCAUGCCCGUACGUUGCAACGGGAGAAACAAACUCUCUCAUCUCUUUCGGGGAAAACAAACGAUACUCUGCUCAACUAAAGCUUACAAUUUCCCAUCAUAAUGAGGCAUAAUUUCCAUCUUGUUUUAGCUUACAAUUUCUUCUCAUAUUAAGGCAUAAUUUUCCAUCUUGUUUUAUUCACAUACACAUGGGUCUGUUUUCGACCGAGCUCUGUUUUACAAUAUAAAUUUUCAUCCUCCCAUUCUCGGCCUAAUCAUCACCCCUUGCUCUACACAACAUUUCUUGAAGAGAAUACAAACACUAUUUUUUCUUCCACCAAUACUUAAAGGAUGCAAGGAAUGUUUUUGUUGUUAAUGUACAUGUGCAUGUGUUUAUGCGGUAAUAAUAUAUGACAAACGACGACACGUGCAUAAUCUAGAAGAUAAUCAUGCUAGCAUAUUCAUGAGAUAGGGAAGACAACAUAUAAAAUCUGAACCUGAAUCAUUGUACUAUUUAGGCUUUUCUUUUCUUUUUAUACAACGUCUUCUGUUCCACAUAUUCCUCUGGAUUUUUCACUUAAACAACUUCGAACACUACUUAACACAUGUUUUCACAUGCUAAAUGCAUUCAGGGCCACAUACAUCGUAACCUACAUUCAACCCAGAAAUUAUGAAAUUUAGUCAAACAUUUACCAAAUUAUUUAGACACUUCUAUCCAACCUAAGAUCAGGCCAAGUCAUGCACGCAUAGGAUAUCAGACGCAUGUGCCUGAAUAUUUGAUCAAGGCUGUUGCAACUCCUCUAGAAAAUAUCCAUGAGGACUGAGACAAAUCUCUAUCUGUACGUAGUAGUUUGCAAGGAGCAUAUACAUACUAUUUUUUGAAAUGCAGCAUAUACAACUGAUACUACUUUAACUGAAAAUAAACCUAUCGUUGUCUGCUCUCCAAUUUCAGAGUAGCAUGGUUUAAUUCAUUCAUGACCUCUGCAUUUUAUUCAGACAGCAGCAUGCACCAAGAUACCUACUUAGAAAGCAAAAUCUUCUCUUUCACAGGGCUAGUGUUUCAUCUAGCUUUAGCGUAUCCUCUCUUUCUCCCUUUGGAUAAGUAGUAUAGUUGAUAACAUACAGACUUAAGAAGUAAAUAGUUGAUGACAGAUGCAAAUCAAUGACAUUGUAGUGUAUGUACCUCAGGUCAGAUCAAGUUUUGGCGGAAAGUGGAAUAUGUGAAGACAGAUUUCCAUUGAAGUCGACGGUAUACAGCCAUGUCUGUGUCAGAAACUUGGCAUGAGGAUGAGCCAUAUAACUGUAGAUUCUCCAGGAGAGUUAGAACACAAAAAACUAUUUGACCUUGCAAUAGAAUUGAAAGGGUUAGGUGAUGUGCGUAUCUCUCUCUGUUGUCUCUACCUCUCUGCUCUCUGUCUUCCUCACAUAUCUCCUUUUUCUCCAGAAGACCAGAACAACAGAUGCAACAAUCAAUGUCUCAAUCGGCCACCGAUCUAGUGCUGGACCGCUUCUCCUCUCUCUGUCCAGGAAGUGGUACACCACAAUGGAACUCAACCACCGAUCUCGUGCUGGAUCCUGCCGACCAUGUCCAGCCUCACAAUAGAUCUAGCAUCUCCCGCACUGGUCAUCCUCACGCUUGCCAUGCGAGAUUCGGAGAGUGGAAGCGGGGGCAGCUGCCAGCGCGAUGAAGCCUCUGGCAGCACACUCGUAGGAUCUGGCGCAGUCGUGAGGCGGGUCGCGAGCCUCCCUCCUACCAGGGCCCCUCCUGCUAUUGGGAAACUCGAAGAGGAAUGGAGAGUGGAGGCGCCGACAGUAGGACGAUGGGUGCCUAAGGGGGUGGGAGGGUAGUCUGGGGGUGGAGGAGAGGUCGAGAGGGCCGGAGGCGGAGGGGAGAGCCAUAGCCCGAGGGCUGGGGAGGGAGAGGCCGGUAGAUCUGGCAUCAUACCUCGCCUGCUCGCGACCGAAGCACUGUAACGACAAUAGAGAGGAGAACGCACCAUACCUCGCCUCCUCGCGACCCAAGCGCCGCCGGCCUCAGCUCCCGUCUUGAUCGAUUCCCUCGUCCUCCUCCUUCCUUCAUGCGCCAAACCAGGACGGGAGCGUUGCGCCCCAACCAUGGCGCCGCCCCGGAGAACCACGAUGCCUUGCAAGGUCCCAUCGUAGCUCGCCUGGAUUCGGAUGCGACAGCCGUUCCCCACGUCGAGUCCAUGCGCCACCGCCGCCCUAUGCGAGUGUCACUCGAUCAGAUCGAACUAAAGAAGGUAUUGCGGGUUGAAUACGAAUAACAACAGGGGCUUUUCUAUAAAAAGGCCGUGGCGGGUUUUCCGACAGAAGCGAUAGCCUCUUUAUUAUUAGGUAAAGAAUAAAGCACAUAUUGCUUCUGUGGUCCGUCGUCGUACUUUUGCAAAAAAACUCCCUGUGGUUUCUGAUAAUUGAACCCGCGGUCCACACGUAACAGUGAAUCUUGAGAAAAACGCUUCGCGAUGGCCCGACCCCACGCGAGCGAGAGCAAACCCUACCCCGAGCCGUUCCCUCGCCGCCGCCGCCACACCUCAUCCCGCUCGCCGCCUCCGCCGGAUUGGGACACGGACUGCGCGCAUCGAUGGACGACAGAGGCGGCGGUGGGCGAGAGAGGAGGGAGGCCGCCGCUGCACUGCUGCGCCGACUCGGACGCCGACGCCGUGUCGUCCGUGGCCAUGGCCGCCGCCGCGACGACGACACCGCGUUGCCCAUCCUCACGCCGUCGUGGCGCCGGCCGGAGAAGAGGCCGUCAAAGAGGCCCAUCGCGGCGCGUGGCGGCCGGCCGCAUCGCCCGUGACUCCGUCAAGCGCGCGCGCACGUACGCCCGGCCAAGGCGGCAAAGGGGGAUCGCUCGUGCCGUGGCGGGGAUCACUCGUGCCGUGGCGUGCUCAUGCUUCGAGUGCUAAAGCAUAUGCUUUCUGGCCCAAAAGGGUCUUCCGGCAACAGCUCCGAUGGGUCUCAGGAUUUGAUUGUGGCGGUGCGCCUUCCGAGAGGCAUCAAAGGAAUGGAAAAAUUGGAGACACUGUCGCAUGUUGAAGCUCCCGGCAAGGUUAAUGAUUUAACUGAUGUUGGUCAUCUAUUGCAGCUGAGUAAACUGGGUGUGAUUCUUUCGGCUGAGAAAGGUGGCUUGGGUGUUCUAUUCCAACAGAUUGAAAAAUUACACGGUUGCCUGCGCUCCUUGUCAAUCCAGAUGAACAAACCACCCAAAGCAGAGGAUACUCUUCCAUUAGCUUCACCUCCAAAACUUCUUCAGAGCCUGAACAUUAGUGGCAUUAGAAGUGGGCUCCUUUUGUGGAUUGUAGAGCUUGAUCAACUUACCAAGUUAACAUUGAGCGAGACUUACCUGGGGGAAGACUAUAUACACAUCCUUGGCAAGCUUGCAUCUAUGCGUUGCCUCAGGCUUCGGUGCAAUACCUAUGCCGGAAGCGGGCCCACAUUCAAUGAUGGAGAGUUCAAGAGCCUCAAGUCGUUGGUAGUUGAUGACGGUGUCAUAGCUAACAUUACCUUCGAAACUGGGACAGUUCCCAACCUUGAGAGGAUUGUUUGGUACAAAAAUAUUGUUAUAAUUAAAUCAUGUGCUAACAUUUGCUCUAUCUGGUUUAUCCUCGUGAGAUCAAAUUUUAUGAUUUAUCGGUUAUGUUAUCGUGGAUCCUAGAGCAAAAUUUAUCUUAUCCUGUGUAGUUGGUCGCCCACACUGGAUAGUUUAACCAGAUUUUCUGAUUGUCUGUCUUGAGUGGAUGUGUACAGGAACCUGCAGGAAAACUUCAAUCGGAGCAAGAGUCGCACCACGGAGAUCUUCUUCCUGUGUAGCUUGACAACUUCAGUAAGACUAGAAUCGAUGUGGUUGCCUUGAGUAAGCAUGCUUAUGUACACGGUAAGAGGCAGUAUGUUUGUCAGGAGCCCGGGUGUGGGAAAGGUAUAUCCGACAAAAAGGGGAUAGAUUUAACAUUACACCUUUACUCGUACAUUAAUGUUAGUGAACUUUCUUGUUUACUAGCAUUGACAGAUUUUUCAGUAAUUUUAGACUCAUACCUGAAAUGUUCAUAAAAGCUUUUUUCUCUAUCUUUUUAUUUACGAGGACCUUUCUCUUUUUGCAUAUUAUUAGCGGAUUUAAGGCCCAAUGAUGUGAAUACAUAUAAUACCUUUGGUUAUGUGUCAGGAAAGAUUCAGUUAAAUGAUCAAUUCACUAAUUAAUCAAUCAGUAAAGACUCAGUUGUUUAAUCCUACUAGAGAGAUACUCCAUGCAUUCAAUCAAUUGUUAGUGUUAAUGGAUUGAUCCAGUACAUUCAUUCAUUCAAAUAAUUUAGUCCUACCUGAGAAAUUUAAGAUCACAUAUGUAUCGAAGUCUUGAUCUUUUUUUCUCGUCCAUGUGCAAAUGCUGCUGAGGAAUAAACAAUGAUCAUGUUUAACCGGAUUAGAUGUAUUUUUGGUCUUCACCUAAGCUCCAGGGGUGUGCCAACAAUCAUUACAGGUUGGUCGACAUGAGUCAGGGACCUGACAUGUUUGAGAAGAUGCAAUCCGAUGGCCGCAGGUGUGAUGUCUUCUUCGACCUAAUUUGUUAUGUGAACGGUGAGGAAUUCUCUGUUCUGUGUUCGUUGGACUUCCAUUUGCUUAAAGUUUUUUUUAUUUAGCUAUUCCGUGCUUGCUGAAAUUCUCAUAUGAUGUGACCUGGUAUUAUUGUUGGAAAUAUGCCCUAGAGGCAAUAAUAAAUUAGUUAUUAUUAUAUUUCUUAGUUCAUGAUAAUCGUUUAUUAUCCAUGCUAUAAUUGUAUUGAUUGGAAACACAAUACUUAUGUGGAUACAUAGACAAAACACUGUCCCUGGUAAGCCUCUAGUUGACUAGCUCGUUGAUCAAAGAUGGUCAAGGUUUCCUGGCCAUAGGCAAGUGUUGUCACUUGAUAACGGGAUCACAUCAUUAGGAGAAUCAUGUGAUGGACUAGACCCAAACUAAUAGACGUAGCAUGUUGAUCGUGUCAUUUUGUUGCUACUGUUUUCUGCGUGUCAAGUAUUUGUUCCUAUGACCAUGAGAUCAUAUAACUCACGGACACCGGAUGAAUGCUUUGUGUGUAUCAAACGUCGCAACGUAACUGGGUGACUAUAAAUAUGCUCUAUAGGUAUCUCCGAAGGUGUUCGUUGAGUUAGUAUGGAUCAAUACUGGGAUUUGUCACUCCGUAUGACGGAGAGGUAUCUCAGGGCCCACUCGGUAAUACAACAUCACACACAAGCCUUGCAAGCAAUGUGACUUAGUGUAAGUUGCGGGAUCUUGUAUUACGGAACGAGUAAAGAGACUUGCCGGUAAACGAGAUUGAAAUAGGUAUGCGGAUACUGACGAUCGAAUCUCGGGCAAGUAACAUACCGAAGGACAAAGGGAAUGACAUACGGGAUUAUAUGAAUCCUUGGUACUGAGGUUCAAACGAUAAGAUCUUCGUAGAAUAUGUAGGAUCCAAUAUGGGCAUCCAGGUCCCGCUAUUGGAUAUUGACCGAGGAGUCUCUCGGGUCAUGUCUACAUAGUUCUCGAACCCGCAGGGUCUGCACACUUAAGGUUCGACGUUGUUUUAUGCGUAUUUGAGUUAUAUGGUUGGUUGUCGAAUGUUGUUCGGAGUCCUGGAUGAGAUCACGGACGCCACGAGGGUUUCCGGAAUGGUCCGGAAACGAAGAUUGAUAUAUAGGAUGACCUCAUUUGAUUACCGGAAGGUUUUCGGAGUUACCGGGAAUGUACCGGGAAUGACGAAUGGGUUCCGGGAGUUCACCGGGGGGGGGGGGCAACCCACCCCGGAGAAGCCCAUAGGCCUUGAGGGUGGCACACCAGCCUUUAGUGGGAUGGUGGGACAACCCAAAAGGGCUCUAUGCGCCAAGCAAAGGAAAAUCAAGAGGAAAGAAAAAAAGGAGGAGGUGGGAAGGAAGGGGGACUCCCUCCCACCAAACCAAGUCCAACUCGGUUUGGGGGGGGAGUCCUCCCCCCUUGGACUCGGCCGACCCCCUUGGGGCUCCUUGAGCCCCAAGGCAAGGUCCCCUCCCUCCCACCUAUAUAUACAGAGGUUUUAGGGCUGAUUUGAGACAACUUUUCCACGGCAGCCCGACCACAUACCUCCACGGUUUUUCCUCUAGAUCGCGUUUCUGCGGAGCUCGGGCGGAGCCCUGCUGAGACAAGGUCAUCACCAACCUCCGGAGCACCGUCAUGCUGCCGGAGAACUCUUCUACCUCUCCGUCUCUCUUGCUGGAUCAAGAAGGCCGAGAUCAUCAUCGAGCUGUACGUGUGCUGAACGCGGAGGUGCCGUCCGUUCGGUACUAGAUCGUGGGACUGAUCGCGGGAUUGUUCGCGGGGCGGAUCGAGGGACGUGAGGACGUUCCACUACAUCAACCGCGUUCACUAACGCUUCUGCUGUACGAUCUACAAGGGUACGUAGAUCACUCAUCCCCUCUCGUAGAUGGACAUCAUCAUGAUAGAUCUUCGUGCGCGUAGGAAAUUUUUUGUUUCCCAUGCGACGUUCCCCGACAAUUAUAUGUGCACAGGCUUUGUUUACAACAUCCUUUAGACUGGUUUUGACUGAUAGAAUUGGGUGAAAGCAGAAUUGCUAUUUGUUAGCUAUGACCUAUGAGUCUGAAAUCUGAAGGCAUAUGCUCUUAUAAUUUGAUACGGAGGGUGUUGUUUCGAUCGUAAGUAAUGGAUCAUAUAUUAUGGUAGGCAACCCAGGUUGAAACCUUAAUAAGGGCACUAAGAUGUAAGAACAUCCUGCAAGUGUUAUGAGUAUAUGUUUCAGUUGCAUAUAGCCUGUUGUUUUGUCUGAAGUAAGCUGUUCUCAAUGGGGUGUGAGAAGUGAAAACACGGAUAUUCUGUGUGAAAGGAAGAGUUUUGGGUAUACCAAUGUGCUCAGAACUUGGUAUUCAUAUGAGAAUCUUCUUUCUGCUGUGCUAUCUGUUUGCUGCAAAUGACAUCAAACCGCACAUCUAAUAUGCGUCAUGGUUACAGGUACACAAGAUCUCAGUCAUGCCCUUCCUGCCGCGGAAGCCUGAAGAGAGUCCAGUCCAGGGACCUGUGGGUGCUCACGGGCGACGACGACGUGAUCGACCCUGUGACCCUGGAGAAGGAGAAUGUGAGGCACUUCCACAGCUUCAUCGACAACCUGCCCCUCAUCGUCCCCGACAACCUUCUGCUGGUCUACUAUGACUACCUGCAUCUGAUAGAAAUUUGCAUUUUUAACUUUAACAUAGAUGUUUAGUAAAAUCAGAUAUAAAAACUGGUGCACAAUGACAUAUGAAUCGGUUAUGCUUUUUUUUACCCGGUGCAACGCACGGGCAUUUGUGCUAGUUGGGGUCCUAAAUUAUUACUAGUACUAGUAUAAAAGAAAAUUUUACUCCACCAAACAACUACCCCCUCCGUUCCUAAAUAUAAGUCUUUUAAGAGAUUUCACUAAGUGACUACAUAUGAAGCAAAAUGAGUUAAUCUAUAAUUUAAAGUAUGUCUAUAUACAUCCGUAUUUAGUUCCUUAUUAAAAACUACUAAAAAGACAUAUAUUUAGGAACGGAGGGAGUAGUAAGUAAUUCUACACAAAAUAUUGGCAUGAUUAUAGUUAUAUGUAUUUUUGUGUGAUUUCCCUUGAAGAUACAGAUCAACAUAUCAUUUGUUGUGCUCCUUAUUCUUGCAAAUGCGGAUGACAACACGCGCGCGCACACACACAAACAUAUGUGCAAACGCACGCGCGCGCACACACACACACACCUCCUCUGCCUAUGGGAUGUCAACAGAGAUCUCUCGGGUUGGUCAAGCAAAGGUUCCUUCGAAAUUACUACAUGGAACAUAUCAGCCAACUAGUUACUAGUCCAAAUAGAUCCUCGAGGGAGGUUCAUGAAACAUUGGAGGGUUGUUCCCGUUAGAAUGGUGAUGAGGUGUUUUCGUCACCUCCUGUGUGCCUCCCUCCACGUAUUGAUCGUAGUGGUUCAGAUGGCUAUGAACACCUCGAGGUCGGUAUUACCAGCAUACCUUUUGAUGGGGUGAGGUCAGAAAUUUUAAGGCCACAUGGUGUAUAUGAGUUCUUAAGAUAAGCAGGACACCCAAACAAUCGCAUGCGAGCCUCGUCGCCAUCAAACUUAUAUCGCCUCAUAUAGCUCUCCGACGCGUCUAAGGUGCAUUGUGAAUCAUGAUGAUUUUAUCCUUCUCAUUAAUUCCAUCUUUGACUGAUGAAGUCGCAUUUAUCAUCAUCGUUUUCAUCCAAUGAGGCAAACACAAAAAUUGAGUGCAAAAAAUAUCUCCUCCCACCCCCAAGACACGAUCAACUUUGACCCAAUCAUAGAGGAUUUCAUAGAUAUUCCAUAUUCAGAUAUUCUUAAGUUCCAAUAGAAAUCCUGUUGGGCCCUCAAGCAUAAAGGUUUGCAUAUAGGCAUUAUCCAACAUUCAUCUAUAGCUAAUACUCCACCCAAAGUCACCUAUAAUCACAUAUAUCUAAGUAUUGACUAAUAAAAUGGAAUAUAUCAUUAGGCAAGUUGGCAUAAUGUUGAUGGUAAUGUAUUCUUUUUACCUCUAGUUCACGACCUACGUAAUUACACCCUCCCUUCCGGUUUAGAGGGCUCAAAUCUGGAAUCUCAUCAACCAAGAUAGAUUGUGAGUGGAUGGCACAAGUUUUGUGAGUACAAGAAUGCCCAAUAUAAAUUAUUUCCACAUGUUCAACUCCCAAAGCAACAAGUGCAUCACCCACCUCUAAGAGCAAGUACAAUAGAGUUCAGUCAGCUGGCUAUAAGAAAUAAAGUAGUAUAUUUUUGCUUAGUUGGAGGAAAGAGAAGAGGAGAGAGAAGGUAAGCGGGCUCUUAGUUAAGAGUCAGCUCUAACACAUGCUCGUAGGUACUUUUGUGAGAGUGAAAGGCGGGCCAUAUAAUAAAAAAGUAGUACACUCUUCUAAUCUACUAUUGUAAAUGUUGACUAUAAGAUGGGAUAUAGAUGACGUGGCAAUGACUUAUAGCCAACACCUCGCUAUACUACUAACCAUGCUCUAAUUGGACUUGCAAGGUGCAUGCAAAAUAAGAUGCAUGCAUGACCACUAUUCCCUCUCUCUCAUCUCUAUGAAUUCAAUGUGGCAUGGACUCAAAGCACUUUAAUUCAAUUGGACUCAAACUAAGCCUAGUAUAAUGGAAAUCUAAAAGAAUUUAGAUAAGGAGGGAGUAUCUUUUUAUCUCGCAAUAACCAAAAAGGAGGGGGUAUCUUUUUAUCUCGCAAUAACACACUACAAGCAUUUUUAUCCGUUUAUCUUUGAGAUAAAAUGCUUGCGCAAUUAAACCCAAUAAACAUGCAAAAUAUAGAACAUCUCUUCAUGGAUGGUGAUUGAGAUGGGGGUUGUUGUUGCAGAUUGAGUGGGCGGAGAUGACCCUAAUGAUGCAUUGGUGUUGAAUGGAUUCGUAUUCCCACAAUUGGAUGUGGUGGAUCUAGUGGGGCCAGCCCUCCAGAAAAAGAGUAUUCUCUAUUCCUCCCAAAUACGGAAAAAUACAUAAUAUUUCGUGUGCGAAUUAGAUGUUAGGGAAGACGAUAUGUAGCAGAGAGAAGGUCAAGGAAUCCAAGUAGGACCCACACAUGAAGAUUGCAUACCCCGGACCUCUCAAUGCUAACCUUGAACCUGAUGCACGGGCUUUGUUAAUCUUGAUCCUGAUGCACGAGCGCUUUCCAUGUUGAUCCUUAUGCACAUGGUGGACUCCCUAUUAAUUUUAUUAAAUUGCCAUGGAUACAUGUGUUGGUAGUGUUGGAAAUAUGCCCUAGAGGAAUAAUGAAUUAGUUAUUAUUAUGUUUCCUUGUUCAUGAUAAUCAUUUAUUAUCCAUGCUAUAAUUGUAUUGAUUGGAAUUCAAAUACAUGUGUGGGUAUAUAGACAAAACACUAUCCCUAAUGAGCCUCUAAGGACUAGCACGUUGAUCAAAGAUGGUCAAGGUUUCCUGGCCAUAGACAUGAGUGGUCAUUUGAUAACGGGGUCACAUCAUUAGGAGAAUGAUGUGAUGGACAAGACUCAAACUAUGAACGUAGCAUGUGAUCAUGUCAUUUUAUUGCUACUGUUUUUCUGCAUGUCAAGUAUAUGUUCCUAUGACCAUGCGAUCAUGUAACUCACUGACACCGGAGGAAUACCUUGUGUGUAUCAAACGUCGUAACGUAACUGGGUGACUAUAAAGGUGCUCUACACGUAUCUCCAAAGGUGUUCAUUGAGUUAGCAUGGAUCAAGACUGGGAUUUGUCACUCCAUAUGACGGAGAGGUAUCUCGGGGCCCACUCGGUAAUACAACAUCACAACAAGCCUUGCAAGCAAUAUGAUUAAAGAGUUAGACAUGGUUUUUUUUAUUAUGAAAUGAGUAAAGAGACUUGCAGGUAACGAUAUUCAAAUAGUAUAGAUAUACCGACGAUCGAAUCUCGGGUAAGUAACAUACCGAAGGACAAAGGGAAUACGGGAUUAACUGAAUCCUUGACAUAGAGGUUCAACCGAUAAAGAUCUUCGUGGAAUAUGUAGGAGCCAAUAUGGACAUCCAGGUCCCACUAUUGGUUAUUGGUCAGAGAAUGUCUCGAUCAUGUCUACAUAGUUCUCGAACCCGUAGGGUCCGCACACUUAAGGUUCAGUGACGUUUCGGUAUUAUUGAGUUAUGAAUGUUGGUGACCGAAAGUUGUUCGGUGUUUGAGAUGAGAUCCCGGACAUCACGAGACCUCCGGAAUGAUCCGGAGGUAAAGAGUGAUAUAUAGGAAAGUUGCAUUUGGCUUCCGGAAAGAUUUCGGGCAUUACCGGUAAAGUACCGGGAGUGACGAAUGGGUUCCGUGGUUUCACUGCGACGGGCCACCCACCCGGGAGGAGACCGAGUAGGCCUAAAGGUGGCGCACCAACACCUAGUGGGCUGAUGUGGCCAUCCCAAUAAAACCUAUUUCGGCCAAGUGUACAAGUAAAAAGGAAAAAGGAAAAAAAGGGAGGAGGAGACCAACUAGGAAGGGAGUCCUCCACCAAACCGAAUUGGGGGAGGACUCUCCUCCCUAGCUCGGUCGAACCUCUCCUCCUUGAGGAGGAGGCAAUGUAGCCCUCCCACCUCUUCCUCCUAUAUAUAGUGGAGGUUUUGAGGGCAACACACACCUGAAAAUCCACGUGCUGCCUGAUACGUCCAUUUUGCAUCAUGCUUUCAUGUUGAUAUUUAUCGCUUUAUGGACUGUUAUUAUACUUUGUGGUACCAUACUUAUGCCUUUUCUCUCUUAUUUUGCAAGGUUUAUUUGAAGAGGGAGAAUACCGGCAGCUGGAAUUCUAGACUGGAAAAGGAGCAAGUCUGAGUCCUCUAUUCUGCGCAACUCCAAAUGCCCUGAAAAUCAACGUGGAUUUUUUUGGGAAUAUAUAAAAAAUACUGGGCGAAAGAACUGUCAGAGGGGAGCAGCCAGGGGCCCACAAGCCUGGUUGCCGCGGCCUACCCCCCUGGCCGUGGCAACAGGGCUUGUGGGCACCUUGGUGGCCCACUGGCCCCCCUCUUUUGCUAUAUGAAGGGUUUCGUCCGAGAAAAAAUCAGGGUGGAGCUUUUUCUUGGAUUCGCCGCCGCCACGAGGCGGAACUUGAGCAAAACCAAUCUAGAGCUCCGGCAGGACGAUCCUGCCGGGGAAACUUCCCUCCCGGAGGGGGAAAUCAUCGCCAUCGUCAUCACCAACACUCCUCUCGUCGGAGGGGAGUCAUCUCCAUCAACAUCUUCAUCAACACCAUCUCCUCUCCAAACCCUAGUUCAUACCAAUCUCCGUCUCGCGACUCUGAUUGGUACUUGUAAGGUUGCUAGUAGUGUUGAUUACUCUUUGUAGUUGAUGCUAGUUGGAUUACUUGGUGGAAGAGUUUAUAUUCAGAUCCUUGAUGCUACUCAUUACACCUUUGAUCAUGAUUAUGAUUAUGCUUCGUGAGUAGUUACUUUUGUUCCUGAGGACAUGGGAUAAGUCAUGCUGAUAAUAGUCAUGUGAAUUUGGUAUUCGUUCGGUAUUUUGAUAUGUUGUAUGUUGUCUUUUCCUCUAGUGGUGUUAUGUGAACGUCGACUACAUAACACUUCACCAUCUUUGGGCCUAGAGGAAGGCAUUGGGGAGUAGUAAGUAGAUGAUGGGUUGCUAGAGUGACAGAAGCUUAAACCCCAGUCUAUGCGUUGCUUCGUAAGGGGCUGAUUUGGAUCCACUAGUUUAAUGUUAUGGUUAGACGUUGUCUUAAUUCUUCUUUCGUAGUUGCAGAUGCUUACGAGAGGGGUUAAUCAUAAGUGGGAUGCUUGUCCAAGUAAGGGCAGUACCCAAGCACCAGUCCACCCAUAUAUCAAACUAUCAAAGUAACGAACGCGAAUCAUAUGAACAUGAUGAAACGAGCAUGACAGAAAUUCCCGUGUGUCCUCGGGAGCGUUUUCCCUCUUAUAAGACUUUGUUCAGGCUUGUCCCUUGCUACAAAAGGGAUUGGGCCACUUUGCUGCACCGUUGCUACUACUUGUUACUUGUUACCUUUCGCUUGCUACGUUUCACCUCACUACACCAUCACUUGUUACCGCUACUUUCAGUGCUUGCAGUUAUUACCUUGCUGAAAACCGUUUAUCAGAGCCUUCUUCUCCUCGUUGGGUUCGACACUCUUACUUAUCGAAAGGACUACGAUUUAUUCCCUAUACUUGUGGGUCAUCACUGCCCUCUCCUCCAUAGAUUGUCUACUUCAUCUAGAUUAGUCCGGCAUAGCUUGGCGAAGCCGUGCUGGAUUAGUUCACCACCACCACCACCACGCCGUCGUGCUGCCAGAGAACUCAUUUACCUCGCCGUCCCUCUUGCUGGAUCAAGAAGGUGGAGAUCAUCAUUGAGCUGUACGUAUGCUGGACGCGGAGGUGCCGUCCGUUCGGCACUAGAUCGGGAUGGACCGUGAUGGGAUCACGGGACGGAUCGUGAUGAGAUCGUGUGACGGAGUGCGAUUUGGAUCACGAAGAUGUUCGACUACAUCAACCGCGUUAUAUACGCUUCCACUUAGCGAUCUACAAGGUACGUGGAUCCGCACUCCCCCUCUCGUAGAUGGUCAUCACCAUGGAUAGAUCUUAUGUGUGCGUAGGAAAUUUUUUGUUUCCCAUGCAACGUUCCCCUUCAGUCGCAUCAUGAGCUAGGUCUAUGCAUAGAUGACAUCUCGAGUAGAACACAAAUUAGUUUGUGGGUGUUGAUAUUCAGAUUGCUGCCCUCCUUAGUCUUUUCUUGAUUCAGCGGUAUUGUUGGAUGAAGCGGCCCGGACAAACCUUACUUGUACGCUCACGAGAGACCGGUGCCAUCAACUGACAUGCAACUUGUUGCAUAAAGAUGGCUAGCGGUUGUCUGUUUCUCCUACUUUAGUUGAAUCGGAUUUGACAAAGGCGGUCCUUGGAGAAGGUUAAAUAGCAACUUGUGUAUCACCAUUAUGGUUAUGCGUAGGUAAGAAUCGUUCUUGCUAGAUACCCAUAGCAGCCAUGUAAAAGAUGCAACAACAAAUUAGAUGACAUCUAACUUGUUUUUGCAGGGUAUGCAUGUGAUGUGAUAUGGCCAAAGACAUGAUAUGAUAUAUUUGAUGUAUGAGAUGAUCAUGUCGUAAUAGUUAAAUAUCGACUUGCAUGUCGAUGCUACGACAACCGGCAGGAGCCAUAGGGUUGUCUUUAAUUAUUUUGCGCUUGGUGAUGCUUUGCUUUAUCGCUAGUUCAGUAGCUUUAGUAGCAAUAGCAUAGUUAACGCGAAAACCUCGAUGGCAGCACAAUGAUGGAGAUCAUGGUGUGGCGUCGGUGACGAUGGAUAUCAUGCCCGUGAUUUGAAGGUGGAGAUCAAAAAGCACAAGUUCAUGGCCAUAUCAUGUCACUUAUGAUUUGCAUGUGAUGUUAAUCCUUUUUAUGCACCUUGUUUUGCUUAGGACGACGGUAGCAUUAUAAGGUGAUCCCUCACUAAAAUUUCAAGAUAAAAUUGUGUUCUCCCCUAGGUUGCACCGUUGCGUAAGUUUGCCGUUUCGAGACACCACGUGAUGAUCGGCUGUGAUAGACUCUACGUUCACAUACAAUGGAUACAAAACAAUUGCAUACGCGAAACACUGGGGUUAAACUUGACGAGCCUAGCAUGUACAGACAUGGCCUCUGAACACAAGAGACCGAAAGAUCGAACAUGACUCAUAUAGUAGAUAUGAUGAACAUAGAGAUGUUCACCAGUAAAGCUAACUCAACUCAUGUCAUGAUCGGACUUGAGUUAAUGAAUUUGGAUCACGCACCACUCAACUGAGCACAGGGUUGUCAAUUUGGGUGGGAGUUCUUAAGUAAUAUGAUUAAUUGAACUCAUUAUCAUGAACAUAGUCAAAAUGCCUUUGCAAAUUAUGUUGUUGUUGGAAAUAUGCCUAGAGGCAAUAAUAAAUUGGUUAUUAUUAUAUUUCCUUGUUCAUGAUAAUCGUUUAUUAUCCAUGCUAUAAUUGUAUUGAUUGGAAACUCAAAUACAUGUGUGGAUACAUAGACAAAACACUGUCCCUAGUAACCCUCUAGUUGACUAGCUCAUUGAUCAAAGAUGGUUAAGGUUUACUAGCCAUAGACAAGUGUUGUCACUUGAUAACGGGAUCACAUCAUUAGGAGAAUGAUGUGAUGGACAAGGCCCAAACUAUAAACAUAGCAUGAUCGUGUCAGUUUAUUGCUACUAUUUCAUGCAUGUCAAUGUAUUUGUUCCUAUGACCAUGAGAUCAUAUGCAACUCCCAGACACCGGAGUAAUACCUUGUGUAUAUCAAACGUCGCAACGUAACAGGGUGACUAUAAAGGUGCUCUACAGAUAUCUCCGAAGGUGUCUAUUGGGUUGGCGUGAAUCGAGACUGGGAUUUGUCACUCCAUAUGACGGAGAGGUAUCUCGGGGCCCAAUCGGCAAUACAACAUCACAAUAAGUCUUGCAAGCAAUGUGACUAAGAAGUUAGUCACGGGAUCUUGUAUUACGGAAGGAGUAAAGAGACUUGCCGAUAACGAGAUUGAACUAGGUAUAGAGAUACCGACGAUCGAAUCUCGGGCAAGUAACAUACCGAAGGACAAAGGGAACAACAUACGAGAUUAAUUGAAUCCUUGACAUAGAGGUUCAACUGAUAAAGAUCUUCGUAGAAUAUGUAGGAGCCAAUAUGGGCAUCCAGGUCCCGCUAUUGGUUAUUGGCCGUAGAGGUGUCUUGGUCAUGUCUGCAUAGUUCUCGAACCCGUAGGGUGUGCACACUUAAGGUUCGAUGACGUUUUGGUAUAGUUGAGUUAUAUGUGUUAGUAACCGAAAGUUGUUCGGAGUCCCGGAUGAGAUCUCGGACAACAGAGGAGCUCCAGAAUGGUUUGGAGUUAAAGAUUGAUACAUAGUAAGUCCUAUUUUGGUCACCGGAAAAGUUUCAGGCUCAUCGGUAGUGUACCGGGAGUGCCGGGAGGGUACCGGGGACCAUCGAGAGGGAUGUCAUGCCCCGAGGGGCCUUAUGGGCUGUGGGAGGAUACAAACCAACCCCUAGUGGACUGACAUAAGCUCCCACUAAGUCCCAUGAGGUUUGAGAAGGAAAGAAACCCAAAGGUGGAAAAGGUGGAAAGGGUUUCCAAGUGGAGAGGAGGAAUCCUACUCCUACUAGGAUUGGAGUAGGACUCUUCCACCUCCAAUUUCGGCCAAACCUUGAGGGUUUGAGGCUGCCUCCUCCCCUCCCUCCCUCCUAUAUAUACUAGAGGUAUUGAGGGUUUUUGAGACACAUAAAAAACAACCACAUGUUGCCCUCUCUCUCUAGAUCUGUUUCUCCUCUAGUCUAGUUUCAGCGGUGCUUAGGUAAAGCCCUGCUAGAAUAGCUCCACCACCACAACCACCAUGCCGCCGUGCUGGAGAACUCAUCUACCUCUCCGCCCCUCUUUCUGGAUCAAGAAGGUGGGGAUCAUCAUCGAUCUGUACGUGUGCUGAACGCGGAGGUGCCGUCGGUUCGGCACUAGAUUGGGAUGGAUCGUGAUGGGAUCGCGGGAUGGAUCGUGAUGAGAUCGCGGGACGGACUGCGAUUUGGAUAGCGAAGAUGUUCCACUACAUCAACCGCGUUAUAUACGCUUCCGCUUAGCGAUCUACAAGGGUAUGUAGAUUCACUCUCUCCUCUCGUAGAUGACCAUCACCAUGGAUAGGUAUUUGAUACGUCUCCAUCGUAUCUACUUUUCCAAACUCUUUUGCCCUUGUUUAAUUUGGACUCUAAUUUGCAUGAUUUGAAUGGAACUAACCUAGACUGACGCUGUUUUCAGCAGAAUUGCCUUGGUGUUAUUUUUGUGCAGAAAUCAAAGUUCUCCCAACGUCGUGAAAAUUUACGGGGAGCAGUUUUGGAAAAAAAGAAAAAUAUCUGCGCCAAGUUCCACCUGAGGGGGUGGGCCACAAGCCCUGGCUCCGCCACCACCCCCCUGGUGGCGGUGGGCAGGCUUGUGGGGCCCACACGGCUCUGCUGGCCCCAACCUCAGGUCUAUAAGUUCACUUUCGUCCCAGAAAAAUUAAAAAGAGAAGUUUUCGUCGCGUUUGCGAUACGGAGCCGCUGCCACCACCUGUUCUUCAUCUGGAGGGCAGAUCUGGAGUCCGUCUUGGGCUCUGGAGAGGGGAAAUCGUCGCCAUCGUCAUCAUCAAUCUUCUUCCCUCUCCAAUUCCAUGAAGCUCUUCGUCGUUCGUGAGUAAUCUAUUCGUAGGCUCGCUGGGCGGUGAUGAGUAGGAUGAGAUCUAUCAUGUAAUCGAGUUAGUUCUGAUGGUGAUUGAUCCCUAGUAUCCACUAUGUUUUGAGAUUGAUGUUGCUACUACUUUUCCAUGCUUAAUGCUUGUCACUAGGGCCCGAGUGCCAUGAUUUCAUAUCUGAAAUUAUUAUGUUGUCACCAAUAUAUGUGUGUUUUAGAUCCGAUCUUGCAAGUUGUAGCUACCUACUAUGUGUUAUGAUCCGGCAACCCCGGAGUGACAAUAACCGGAACCACUCCCGGUGAUGACCAUAGUUUGAGGAGUUCAUGUGUUCACCAAUUGCUAAUGCGUUGGUCCGGUUCUUUAUUAAAAGGAGAACCUUAAUAUCCCGUAGUUUCCUUUUGGACCCCGCUGCCACGGGAGGGAUGGACAAUAGAUGUCAUGCAAGUUCUUUUCCCUAAGCACGUAUGACGACCCACGGAAUGCAUGCCUGCAUCACAUUGAUGAACGGGAGCUAGACACAUAUCUCUCCGUGUUAUAACUGUUGCAUGAUGAAUAUCAUCCAAACAAAUCACCGACCCAUUGCCUACGAGUUUGUCCUACUGCUGAUGUUACUUGUUUUGCUCUGCUGUUGUUACUACUGUUGCUGCUGCUACUGUUGCUACUACUGUCGCUUGCUACUAUUGGUACUUGCUACUGCUGUCACUACUGUUGUUCCUUGCCACUGCCGUUACUCUCUACUUUGCUGUUACUACUUUGCUUGCAGAUACUAAUCUUUCAGGUGUGGUUGAAUCUGACACAUUCAGCCGCUAAUACUUGAGAGUAUUCUCUCACCUCCUGUUUGGCGAAUCAACAAAUUUGGGUCGAAUACUCUACCCUCGAAAACUGCUGCGAACCCACGCGCUGGUGGGCCGUCAACAACAUUCUGCUAGUUCCAUUACUGGGGAGUGCUAGCAGCAUUCUUCUGGUGCCGUUGCAGGGGAAGCUUUGUUGUCACAGAAUCAGCAUUCGUCUAGCUAUUUCCAGAGAGUGCCAGUCAGCAUUUUUCUGGCGCCGUUGCCGGGGAGGUAUUGCUAUAUUCUGUGAGUCACUUGGGAUUUAUAUCUGCUGAUCACUAUGAAGAAUCUGAAGGAUCCGAAAACCAAAGUCUUGCCCUCAACUACGAGGGGAGGUAAGGAAUUGCCAUCUAGCUCUGCACUUGAUUCACCUUCAGUUAUGAGUAAGUUUGCGACAUCACCUCCUGCUAGAAAUCUUGAUAUGUCGCCUGUGCUUGAUGAUGCUUAUGAUGCUACUGCUAGAGAUGCUAUGCUUGAUACUUCUAGAGAUGCUAAGCUUGAUACUGCUUUGCCUGAUGAUGCUAGAGAUGCUAUUUUGCCUGAUGUUGCUAUGCUUGAUACUGCUAGAGAUACUACUUUGCCUGAUGUUCCACUAGGGGUGUUCCUUGAUGCUCAUAUUGCUAGAGUUACUCCCAAUGCUCGUGAUACUUCUGAAACUACCGAUACUAUUGAGAUAGAACCUGCUUUUGCUCCUGCUAGAUCUAGCUCUCCUAGAUAUGAAUUGCCUGAUAUACCUGAGGGUUACGUUAUGGAGGGAGAGAUAGCUGAGGAUUUUCUUACGUGUAAGGAUGCCUAUGACGCUGAGAAAUUACUUCUCAAGUGGAAGGAAAAAUCUCGGGAAGCUAAGAUGAAAUAUGACCCGAAGUUUGCCACUUCACCUAUCUUUAUCACCGAUAAGGAUUAUGAAUUCUCUGUCGACCCUGAGAUAAUCUCUCUAGUCGAAUCUAAUCCUUUUCACGAUUAUGAGUCUGAGACUGUCGUAGCCCAUCUUGCCAAACUACACGAUAUAGCCACCCUUUUCACUAAUGAGGAGAAGAUCCACCGCUACUAUAUCCUUAAGCUGUUUCAUUUCUCUCUAAAGGAUGACGCUAAAGCCUGGUUCAUCUCUCUUGCUCCUGGAUGUGUGAGUAGUCCCCGGGAGAUGGUCUAUUACUUCUGUGAGAAAUAUUUCCCUGCCCAUAAGAAGCAAGCUGCCUUGCAGGAAAUAUACAACUUUGCUCAACUCCAAGAAGAGAGUCUCCCACAAGCUUGGGGGAGGCUCGUCCAGCUACAGAAUGCUUUGCCUGAUCACCCUCUUAAGAAGAACGAGAUACUUGAUAUCCUCUAUAACGGACUUACUGAUGCCUCUAGAGACCACCUAGAUAGUUGUGUCGGUUGUGUUUUUAGGGAACGAACUAUAGAACAAGCUGAGACCCUACUGAAUAACAUCGUGAUCAACGAUAAUGCUUGGACUAUUCCUGAACCACCUCCGAAGCCAACUCCUAAGAAAAGAGGUAUUCUAUUCCUCAGUUCUGAAGAUAUGCAAGAAGCCAAGAAAUCCAUGCAAGAGAAAGGCAUUAGAUCUAAAGAUAUCAAAAAUCUACCACCUAUCGAAGAGAUCCAUGGUCUCGAUAACCCGAUAUAGGUAGUGGUAGUGAAUUCUCUGCGUAGGUUUGAUGAGAGUGAUAUUCCUUUUGAUAAACCUGCUAGCCUAUGCUUUGAUGAAUUUGAAAACUUUGUUGCCAAACAACAGAGUUUCAAUGAUUAUGUUAGCAGACAUUUGGAACAAAGUACUCGUAUGCUUAGCCAUUUAAGUGCUUGUGUAGACAGAAAUAUAAAUGCUCUGAAGCUUCUGAGUAAACAUGACUCUAUGAUUACUACUCAGGUAGAACAAGUACUUAAAGCUUAUAAUAACUUGCUCAAUGAAUUACAGGACAACUCUGUCAGAGUCAUUACUAGAGGAGGCAAAAUGACUCAGGAACCUUUGUAUCCUGAAGGUCAUCCUAAGAGAAUUGAUCAAGAUUCUCAAGGAGUCAAUGCUGAUACACCUAGUCAUCCUAAGGAGAAGAAGAAGGAUGAUAGAAACCUGCAUGCCAGUUCACCAAAUACUGUCACACCUAAAGAACCUAAUGAUAUUUCUGCGUCUGAUGCAGAAACACAAUGUGGUGAUGAACAUGAACCUGGUGACAAUAUGGACAAUGAUGUUCAUAAUAAUGCUCAACCUAGCAAUGAUGAGGAUGUGGAGAUUGAACCUACGGUUAAUCCUGAUAACCCACAACCUUAGAAAUAUGAUAAGAAUGACUUCACUGCUAGGAAGCAUGGUAAAGAAAGAGAGCCAUGGGUUCAGAGACCUAUGCCCUUCCCUCCUAAGCAAUCCAAGAAAAAGGAUGAUGAGGAUUUUGAGCGCUUCGUUGAGAUGAUUUGACCCAUCUUUCUGCAGAUGCGGUUAACUGAUAUGCUCAAGAUGUCUCCGUAUGCCAAGUACAUGAAAGAUAUCGUGACUAAUAAACGGAAGAUACCGGAUCUUGAGAUCUCCACCAUGCUUGCCAACUACACUUUCAAAGGUGGAAUUCCUAAGAAACUUGGUGAUCCCGGAGUGCCCACUAUACCUUGCUCCAUUAAAGGAAACUACGUAAGAACUGCCUUAUGUGACCUUGGAGCGAGUGUUAGUGUUAUGCCACUCUCUCUUUAUCGUAGACUUGAGUUGGAUAAGUUGACACCCAGUGAAAUUUCUCUGCAAAUGGCCGACAAGUCAGCUUCUUUCCCUAUCGGCCUUUGCGAGGAUGUGCCUGUUGUGGUUGCUAACACCACUAUCUUAAGAGACUUUGUUAUCUUGGAUAUUCCCGAGGACGAUGUCAUGGCUGUCAUCCUCGGAAGACCCUUUUUAAAUACUGCAGGGGCUGUUAUAGAUUGCAACAAAGGCAAUGUCACUUUCCAUGUCAACGGUAAUGAGCACACAGUGCACUUUCCGAAGAAACGAUAUCAAGUACAUUGCAUCAAUGCUAUCGAAAAGACUUCAUCGAUUCUCAUUGGGAUCUUUGAAUGUCCUAUUCCUCAUGUCAAGAUGAAGUAUGAUUUUCUUGUUGGGGAGAUACAUAUCCCCAUUGAGGUGACUUAGUGGCUAUUAGAAAUUUCUCCGUUCUCUCUUGUGAUUCGAGAAGGUUUUGUCAUAAGGACUUGAUCAAUCCCAUUGACGGAUUUCUUCCGAUGACCAUGAAACGGAUGAAUCAAAGAGCCACAUACCUCCGUUUAGAGCUUUCAUUUUCUUUUGCUUAGAAGAAAAAUGAUAGAAUUAGUUUAGCUUUUCCUGUUUUCUGUUUUAGCGUCCCGGAGAAAAAUACCUCAAAAAUAAAAGUUCUCCGAUGGUCCUGAAAAUUUAGUAUGAUUUUUUUUGGAAUUUUUGAAAAUUUCUGGGCCUAAGAGCUGGCCUGGGGGCCAGACCAGUGGGCCACAAGCCCUACCACCGCCACCUACCCCCUUGGUGGCGGAGUGCAAGCUUGUGGGGCCCACAUGGACCCCCUCCACUCAUUCCAGCUCCCAGCCUCUUCUUCCACCUCCAGGAAAAAUUGUUUCGCAGCUCAAACCCGUGUUCUUGCUCACUUGGCUGUAAUUUUCGAUCUCCUUGCUCAAAGCACCAUUCUUCGAACCGUUUUGGGGAAAUUACUCCUUCGUAAGUGACUCCUCCAUUGGUCCAAUUAGUUUUUUCUCUAGUGCUUUAUCCUUCGCGAAUUCUUGCUACCUUGGUGACCCUGUUCUUGAGCUUGAAAGGUUGAUUUUAGCUGGUCCCAAGUAGUUUUAGCGCGUGAUACGGUCUCUAGGCACUAGUAGGAGUAGUUGCUACAAGGUAUGUGAUACGUCCAUUUUGCAUCAUGCUUUCAUGUUGAUAUUUAUUGCUUCUUGGGCUGUUAUAUUACUUGUGGUACCAUAUUUAUGCCUUUUCUCUGUUAUUUUGCAAGGUUUAUUUGAAGAGGGAGAAUUCAGGCAGCUGGAAUUCUGGACUGGAAAAGGAGCAAAUCCUAGUCCACUAUUCUGCACAUCUCCAAAUUCCGUGAAUAUUUACAUGGAUUUUUUCUGGAAUAUAUUAAAAAUACUCGGUGAAAGAACUACUGGAGGGGGGCCACGAGGGCCCCACAAGCUUGCCCACCGCCACCACCCCCCUGGUGGCGUAGGGAAGGCUUGUGGGCUUCCUGAAGGCCCACUAGCCCCUCUCUUUUGCUAUAUGAAGCGUCCUGGCCUGGAAAAAAUCAAUAGGGAGCUUUUUCGUGGUUUCGCCGCCGCCACGAGGCGGAACUUGAGCAGAUCCAAUCUAGAGCUCUGGCAGGACGAUCCUGCCGGGGAAAUUUCCCUCCCGGAGGGGGGAAUCGUCGCCAUCGUCAUCACCAACACUCCUCUCGUCGGAGGGGAGGCAUCUUCAUCAACAUCUUCAUCAGCACCAUCUCCUCUCCAAUCCUUAGUUCAUCUCUUGUAACCAAUCUUCGUCUCGCAACUCAGAUUGGUACUUGUAAGGUUGCUAGUAGUGUUGAUUACUCCGGGUAUGAUUAUGAUUAUGUCUUGUGAGUAGUUACUUUUGUUCCCGAGGACAUGGGAUAAGUCAUACUCAUAAUAGUCAUGUGAAUUUGAUAUUCGUUCGGUAUUUUGAUAUGUUGUAUGUUGUUUUUCCUCUAGUGGUGUUAUGUGAAUGUCGACUACAUAACACUUCACCAUAUUUGGGCCUAGAGGAAGGCAUUGUGAAGUGGUAAGUAGAUGAUGGGUUGCUGGAGUGACAGAAGCUUAAACCCCAGUCUAUGCAUUGCUUCGUGAGGGGCUGAUUUGGAUCCACUAGUUUAAUGCUAUGGUUAGACUUUGUCUUAAUUCUUCUUUUGUAGUUGCGGAUGCUUGCGAGAGAGGUUAAUCUUAAGUGGGAUGCUUGUCCAAGUAAGGGCAGUACCCAAGCGCCGGUCCACCCACAUAUCAAACUAUCAAAGUAACAAACGCGAAUCAUAUGAACAUGAUGAAACUAGCAUGGCAGAAAUUCCCGUGUGUCCUCGGGAGCGUUUUUCCUCGUAUAAGAAUUUGUUCAGGCUUGUCCCUUGCUAUAAAAGGGAUUGGGCCACUAGCUGCACCAUUGCUACUACUUGUUACUUGUUACUCUUUGCUUGCUACGUUUCACCUCGCUACACAAUCACUUGUUACCGCUACUUUCAGUGCUUGCAGUUAUUACCUUGCUGAAAUCCGUUUAUGAGACCCUUUUGCUCCUCGUUGGGUUCGACACUCUUACUUAUCGAAAGGACUACGAUUGAACCCCUAUACUUGUGGAUCAUCAAGACUCUUUUCUGGCACCGUUGCCGGGGAGUGAAGUGCCUUUGGUAAGUGGAAAUUGGUAAGGAAACAUUUAUAUACUGUGCUGAAAUUUAUUGUCACUUGUCUCUAUGGAAACUCUUCCUUUGAGGAGUUUGUUCGGGGUAUCUUCACCACGAACGGAAGCACGAGGAGUUUCUCCUCAACCGGAGGUACCUACAGAAAAUAUCUUUUAUGAAAUUCCUUUGGGUAUGCUUGAGAAACUGCGGCUAAUCCUUUUACACGAGAUGGAUCUUCACAUCCAGACUUUCAUCUAAUCUAUGUAGAUGAAGUUUGUGGUUUAUUUAAGCUUGCAGGUUUGCCCAAGGAUGAGGUAAAGAAGAAAGUCUUUCCUUUAUCUUUGAAGGAUAAGGCGUUGACAUGGUAUAGGCUAUGUGAUGAUGCUGGAUCAUGGGGCUACAAUCGGUUGAAAUUGUAAUUUCAUCAAAUGUUCUAUCCUAUGCAUUUAGUAGAUCGUGAUCGGAACUUUAUUUAUAACUUUUGGCCUCGUGAUAGGGAAAGCAUAGCUCAAGCUUGGGGAGGCUUAAAUCAAUGCUAUAUUCAUGCCCCAAUCAUGAGCUCUCGAGAGAAAUCAUCACUCAAAACUUUUAUGCUUGGCUUUCUCAUGAAGAUCGUACCAUGCUUGACACUUCUUGUGCCGGUUCUUUAUGAAGAAGGAUAUUGAUCACAAGUGAAAUUUAUUGGAGAGAAUCAAACACAACUCUGAAGAUUGGGAGCUGGAGGAAGGUAAGGACUCAGGUAUGAAUUUCCAGUUUGAUUGUGUUAAAUCUUUUGUUGAGACAAACACUUCUAGAGAUUUUAGCGCUAAGUAUGGACUUGACUCUGAGAUAGUAGCUUCUCUAUGUGAAUCUUUUGCUGCUCAUGUUGAUCUUCCCAAAGAGAAGUGGUUUAAAUAUCGUCCUCGUGUAGAAAGCAACAUAGCCAAAACCAAUCUAGUUGAGGAGAAAAUCAUAGCUUUUAGUGAUCCUGUUGUUCCUUGUGCUUACACUGAGAAACCACCAUACCCUGCUAGGAUGAAGGACUAUUCUAAAGCUCCAACUGUGAUACGUAGGGGUUACAUUAGACCACUUGCACCCCCCGAGGAGAUUAGAGUUGAACCUAGUGUUGCUAUUAUCAAAGAUCUCUUAGCCGAAGACAUAGACAGGCAUGUUAUUAAAUUCUGUGAGGACUCCGCUAGAAUUGCUAAACCUCACGUGAAAGACAAGCACGGACCUGUAGUUGGCCUGCCCGUUGUUUCUGUUAAGAUAAGAGAUCACUGUUAUCAUGGUUUAUGUGAUAUGAGAGCUAGUGUUAGUGCAAUACCCCGUUCUCUCUAUGAUGAAAUCAAAGAUGAGAUUGCACCUGCUGAGUUACAACCCAUUGAUGUCACUAUUACGUUAGCUAAUAGAGACACUAUCUGCCCUCUGGGAAUUGUGGGAGACGUAGAAGUCCUGUGUGGUAAGACGAAGUAUCCUACUGAUUUCCUCGUCCUUGGUACUGCACAAGAUAGCUUUUGUCCCAUCAUAUUUGGUAGACCCUUUCUCAACACUGUCAAUGCUCACAUUGAUUGCAUUAAGCAGACUGCCACAGUAAGUUUUGAGGGUGUGCCUCAUGAAUUUAACUUCUCCAAGUUUGGAAGACAACCCCAUGAAAGAGAGUCGUCUGGUAGAGAUGAAAUCAUUGCUCUUGCCUCUAUUUCCGUACCUCCUACGGAUCCUUUAGAGCAAUAUCUUCUUGAGCAUGAAAAUGAUAUGCAUAUGGAGGAGAGAGAUGAGAUAGAUAGAAUUGUCUUAGAACAAUAUCCUAUUCUCAAGAAUAAUCUGCCUGUUGAACUGCUUGGGGAUCCUCCCCCACCAAAGGGAGAUCCUGUGUUCGAGCUUAAACAGUUGCCUGAUACUCUUAAGUAUGCCUGUCUUGAUGAGAAGGAGAUAUAUCCUGUCAUUAUUAGUGCUCUCCUCUCAGAGCGCGAAGAGAAGAAGUUACUAAAAACUCUGAAGAAGCACCGCGCUGCUAUUGGAUAUACUCUUGAUGAUCUUAAGGGUAUUGGUCCUACUCUAUGUCAGCACAAGAUUAAAACCGAUCCUGACUUUAAGCCAGUUGCUGAUCAUCAAAGGAGAUUAAAUCCUAAGAUAAAAGAGGUCGUUACAAAAGAAAUAUUAAAGCUUAUGGAAGCAGGAAUCAUUUAUCCUGUUGCUCAUAGUGAUUGGGUAAGUCCAGUACAUUGCCUACCUAAGAAGGGAGGUAUCACCGUCGUUCCUAAUGAUAAGGAUGAACUAAUCCCACAAAGUAUUAUUACCGGCUAUAGAAUGGUGAUAGACUUCCGGAAACUGAACAAGGCAACCAGGAAAGAUCAUUAUCCUUUGUCGUUCAUCGACCAAAUGCUAGAAAGGUUAUCAAAACACACACACUUCUGCUUUCUAGACGGUUAUUCAGGUUUCUCGCAAAUACCCGUUGCACAGUCUGAUCAAGAGAAAACCACUUUCACCUGCCCUUUCGGUACCUUUGCCUAUAGAUGUAUGCCUUUUGGCUUAUGUAAUGCACCCGCCACCUUCCAAAGAUGUAUGAUGGCUAUAUUCUCUGACUUUUGUGAAAAGAUUGUCGAGGUUUUCAUGGAUGACUUCUCUGUUUACGGGUCUUCCUUUGAUGAUUGCCUCAGCAACCUUAAUCGAGUCUUACAGAGAUGCGAAGAAACCAACCUCGUCUUGAAUUGGGAGAAGUGCCACUUUAUGGUUAAUGAAGGUAUCGUCUUAGGACACAAAAUCUCUGAAAGAGGCAUUGAAGUUGAUAAGGCUAAGGUUGAUGCAAUUGAGAAAAUGCCUUGCCCCACAGAUAUCAGAGGUAUACGAAGUUUCUUAGGUCAUGCUGGUUUCUAUAGAAGGUUCAUUAAAGACUUUUCUAAGAUUUCUAGGCCUCUUACCAACCUCUUGCAGAAGGAUGUUCCUUUUGUUUUUGAUGAGGAUUGUGAGGAAGCCUUCGAAAUACUUAAGAAGGCUUUGAUAACCGCACCUAUUGUUCAACCACCUGACUGGAACUUGCCCUUUGAAAUCAUGUGUGACGCUAGUGAUUAUGCUGUUGGUGCUGUUGUAGGACAAAGAGUUGACAAGAAGUUGAAUGUCAUUCACUACGCUAGUAAAACUCUAGACAGUGCCCAAAGAAACUAUGCCACUACGGAGAAGGAAUUUUUAGCAGUCGUGUUUGCAUGUGAAAAGUUCAGAUCUUACAUAGUUGACUCCAAAGUCACUAUUCAUUCUGAUCAUGUUGCUAUUAAGUACCUUAUGCAGAAGAAGGACGCUAGGCCUAGGCUGAUCAGAUGGGUUCUCCUGCUACAGGAAUUUGAUUUGCACGUCGUUGACCGAAAAGGUGCGGAUAACCUUGUAGCAGAUAACUUGUCUAGGCUAGAGAAUGUCCUUGAUGACCCACUACCAAUUGAUGACAGCUUUCCUGAUGAGCAAUUAAAUGUCAUCCGCACUUCACUUAGUGCACCGUGGUAUGCCGAUUAUGCAAACUAUAUCAUAGCCAAAUACAUACCACCCAGUUUCACCUAUCAACAAAAGAAGAAAUUCUUCUUUGAUUUGAGACACUAAUUUUGGGAUGAUCCUCACCUUUAUAAGGAAGGAGUAGAUGGUGUUAUUAGACGUUGUGUGCCUGAACAUGAACAGGGACAGAUCCUGUAGAAGUGUCAUUCCGAAGCCUACGGAGGACACCAUGCUGGAGAUAGAACUGCCCACAAGGUAUUGCAAUCAGGUUUCUAUUGGCCCACUCUCUUCAAGGAUGCUCGUAAGUUUGUCUUAUCUUGUGACGAAUGCCAAAGGAUAGGGAACAUUAGUAAGCGUCAAUAGAUGCAUAUGAACUAUUCACUUGUCAUUGAACCAUUUGAUGUCUGGGGCUUUGAUUAUAUGGGACCCUUCCCGAGUUCCAAUGGGUACACUCACAUCUUAGUUGCUGUGGAUUACGUUACUAAGUGGGUAGAAGCUAUCCCCACUAAAAAUGUUGAUCACCACACCUCUAUUAAGAUGCUUAAAGAAGUCAUAUUCCCAAGAUUUGGAUUCCCUAGAUACUUGAUGACUGAUGGUGGUUCACACUUCAUUCAUGGUGUUUUCCGCAAGAUGCUAGCUAAGUAUGAUGUCAACCAUAGAGUUGCAUCUCCUUAUCAUCCUCAGUCUAGUGGUCAAGUGGAGUUGAGUAAUAGGGAGAUCAAGUUGAUCCUACAAAAGACCGUCAAUAGAUCUCGAAAGAACUGGUCUAGCAAACUUGACGAUGCACUAUGGGCUUAUAGGACUGCUUAUAAGAAUCCCAUGGGCAUGUCACCGUAUAAAAUGGUUUACGGUAAGGCCUGUCAUUUACCUCUUGCGUUGGAACACAAAGCUUAUUGGGCAAUCAAAGAGCUCAACUUUGAUUUCAAACUUGCCGGUUAGAAGCAGUUGUUUGAUAUCAGCUCGUUAGAUGAAUGGAGAGCCCAGGCAUAUGAGAAUGCCAGGUUGUUCAAGGAAAAGGUUAAGAGAUGGUACGACAAACGAAUACAGAAACGAGAGUUCAAUGUAGGUGAUUAUGUCUUGCUAUACAAUUCUCGUUUGAGAUUCUUUGCAGGCAAGCUUCUCUCUAAAUGGGAAGGUCCCUAUGUUGUCGAGGAAGUAUAUCGUUCCGGUGCCAUCAAAAUCAAUAACACGGAAGGAAAUUUUCCUAGAGUGGUAAAUGGGCAAAGAAUCAAGCAUUACAUCUCUGGUACUCCCAUAAAUGUUGAGACCAAUAUCAUCAAUGUCAUAACUCCAGAGGAGUACAUAAGGGAUGUUUAUCAGCCUGUUUCAGACCUUGAAAACGAAGAUGUAUCUGUUUCGCAAGAAAUUGUACUCCGAUACUUUUCCAAUAGAAAAUUUCCUCAGUUUUGGAAUUUUUGGAAAAUUAGAAAAAUAAAAAUAAGUCCGGAGAGCAAACGAGGAAGCCACAAGGGCCCACUCCGCCACCACCCCCUGGUGGCGGUGGGCAAGCUUGUGGGCACCUCGUAUGCCUCCCGGACUCCGUUUUCUUGCGGAGGACUCCUUCUGGCCCAGAAAAAAAAUCAAUAUAUAGUUGCCCGAAGGUUUUGAUCUCCGUAUCACGUAGUUUUCCUCUGUUUUUGUUUCGAGCUUGUUGUCUGCCGCAGAUUUAGAGAAAAGAUGUCUCAGGAAUCUGUUGGGGAGAAUGAUCUUCACCAAGUUCAUGAGGAAGUAGAUGCUGAUCUGAAAAGAGUAGAAGUUACAGAAGCCAGGGACCAAGCUAAGGAUAAAACCCAAGCUAGGGAGGAAGUUCAACCUAUGUCAACAUUGAAGACGUUGAAGGAGUAGACUUUCUCCAACCCUUCCUCCACAUGCUGUCUCCAUCCUUGAUUGAAGUCUUGAGGUUUUGCAAAACAACUCGUGCUCACAAUAUUUAUCUUUCUCGUGAAGUUGUUUUGCUGGAAAACCAUGUCACAGAUCUCAAAGGUAUAAAUCAAAGGUUGAUAGCUUUCUUGGAAUCAAAGGCGACAACAACACCACCAUCACCACCAAAGGAAGACAACUAAGCAUUGGUAUGGGCAAUCCCCUUCGCUUCUGCCAAGCUUGGGGGAGUUGCCCUGGUAUCGUAUCACCUUUAUAUCUUUUGCUUUUACCUUUGUUUUAGUUCUUUCCUUUUCAGUUUUUAUUUCUUCUUUUAGAGGAAUAAGUCUUUAGUUUGUAGUUUGAGUCUUUUGCUUUUGUCUCUCCCCCGAUGUAUUCGAGCUUACGAGCUAUAUAAUAAAGAGUGUCUUAGUCAAGGGCUUUGCUUUGUGCCAUGAUCAAAGAGUAUGAAAAGAAUGAUAGCAUGAAAGAUCAUGAGACGAUCUUAUGGAAAGUGAUAACUUCACUUAUGACAUGUAUGAUGAUUGAAACGUGUUGAGAAUAAAUCAACAUAGACAUUAGUCAUUGUUGCAAUUAAUAAGAAGUAAUAAGGAAAGAGUGGUCCACAUAUAAAUAUAUCAUCUUAGACACUUUUUACAAUUGUGAGCACUCACCAAACUAUUACAUUCCUAGGAGUAGAUGUUGAACAAGGAAGACAACAUAAUGAAUUGUGUUUGCUUGGUUCCAAACAAUGUUAUAUGAUUAGAGAUCCCUUAGCAUGUGACGAUUGCUUCCACCUCAUAUUAGCCAAAACCCCCGCACCAAGUAGAGAUACUACUUGUGCAUCCAUAAACCUCAAACCAGUUUUGCCAUGAGAGUCCACCAUACCUACCUAUGGAUUGAAUAAGAUCCUUCAAGUAAGUUGUCAUCGGUGCAAGCAAUAAAAAUUGCUCUCUAAUAUGUAUGAUCUAUUAGUGUGUGGAAAAUAAGCUUUGUACGAACCUGUGAUGAGGAAGACAUAAAAGCGACAGACUGCAUAAUAAAGUUCUUUGUCACAUGAGGCAAUAUAAAGUGACGUUUCUCCGCACUAAGAGGACAUGCAUCCAAACCUCAAAAGCGCAUGACAACCUCUGCUUCCCUCUGCGAAGGGCCUAUAUUGUACCUUUACUUUUUACCCUUGUAAGAGUCAUGGUGAUCAUCACCAAUUCCCUUUUUGCCCUUGUCUUGGCUACCGUCACAUUCUUGGGAAAGAUCUAUAUUCAUAUAUCAACUUGGAGUUGAGUACUCAUGCUUUAUUAUUGUUGACUUUACCCUUGAGGUAAACCGUUGGGAGACAAAACUAUAAGACCAUAUCUUCCUCUGUGUGUAGCUGAAGCUUUGACACCAUGAGUACCACGUGAGUUAUAACAAUUGUGGAAAAUAAAAGAGAUGAUUGAGUAUGUGGGUUUGCCUUACUAGCUCUUAUUUGACUCUUUCUGAUGUUGUGAUAAAUUGCAAUUGCUUCAGUGACUAUUGAUUAUUGUUGGUUACUUCUCGGUAAGGUUUUUGCUUCAUGCUUUGCUUUGUGAAGGAAUUGUUACUUUCCCAUAAGAAUAUUUAUGAUAUAUUAAUGUUCUAUGUGUGAUCAUGAUGCCCUCAUGUUCGUAUUAUGUUUUAUCGACACCUUCGUCCCUCAACAUGUGGACAUGUUUAUGGAACUUGGUUUUCGCUUGAGCACAAGCGAGGUCUAAGCUUGGGGGAGUUGAUACGUCCAUUUUGCAUCAUGCUUUCAUGUUGAUAUUUAUUGCUUCUUGGGCUGUUAUAUUACUUGUGGUACCAUAUUUAUGCCUUUUCUCUCUUAUUUUGCAAGGUUUAUUUGAAGAGGGAGAAUUCAGGCAACUGGAAUUCUGGACUGGAAAAGGAGCAAAUCCUAGUCCACUAUUCUGCACAUCUCCAAAUGCCCUAAAAAUUUACGUGGAUUUUUUUUGGAAUAUAUUAAAAAAUACUGGGCGACAGAACUACUGGAGGGGGCCACCACGGCCCCACAAGCUUGCCCACCGCCACCACCCCCAUGGUGGUGCAGGGCAGGCUUGUGGGCUGCGUGAAGGCCCACUAGCCCCCCUCUUUUUUUUAUAUGAAGCGUCCUGGUCUGGAAAAAAAUCAAUAGGGAGCUUUUUCGUGGUUUCGCCGCCGCCACGAGGCGGAACUUGAGCAGAUCCAAUCUAGAGCUCCAGGAGGACGAUCCUGUCGGGGAAAUUUCCCUCACGGAGGGGGGAAUCGUCGCCAUCGUCAUCACCAACACUCCUCUCGUCGGAGGGGAGGCAGCUUCAUCAAUAUCUUCACCAGCACCAUCUCCUCUCCAAUCACUAGUUCAUCUCUUGUAACCAAUCUUCGUCUCGCAACUCAGAUUGGUACUUGUAAGGUUGCUAGUAGUGUUGAUUACUCUUUGUAGUUGAUGCUAGUUGGAUUACUUGGUGGAAGAGUUUAUGUUCAGAUCCUUGAUGCUAUUCAUUAUACCUCUGGUCAUGAUUAUGAUUAUGUCUUGUGAGUAGUUACUUUUGUUCCUGAGGACAUGGGAUAAGUCAUGCUGAUAAUAGUCAUGUGAAUUUGAUAUUUGUUCGGUAUUUUGAUAUGUUGUAUGUUGUUUUUCCUCUAGUGGUGUUAUGUGAACGUCGACUACAUAACACUUCACCAUAUUUAGGCCUAGAGGAAGGCAUUGUGAAGUAGUAAGUAGAUGAUGGGUUGCUGGAGUGACAGAAGCUUAAACCCCAGUCUAUGCGUUGCUUCGUGAGGGGCUGAUUUGGAUCCAGUAGUUUAAUGCUAUGGUUAGACUUUGUCUUAAUUCUUCUUUUGUAGUUGCGGAUGCUUGCGAGAGAGGUUAAUCAUAAGCGGGAUGCUUGUCCAAGUAAGGGCAGUACCCAAGCGUCGGUCCACCCACAUAUCAAACUAUCAAAGUAACGAACGCGAAUCAUAUGAACAUGAUGAAACUAGCAUGACAGAAAUUCCCGUGUGUCCUCGGGAGCGUUUUUCCUCCUAUAAGACUUUGUUCAGGCUUGUCCCUUGCUACAAAAGGGAUAGGGCCACUUGCUGCACCAUUGCUACUACUUGUUACUUGUUCCUCUUUGCUUGCUACGUUUCACCUUGCUACACAAUCACUUGUUACCGCUACUUUCAGUGCUUGCAGUUAUUACCUUGCUGAAAUCCGUUUAUCAGAGCCUUCUGCUCCUCGUUGGGUUCGACACUCUUACUUAUCAAAAGGACUACGAUUGAUCCCCUAUACUUGUGGGUCAUCAGUAUGGUUGGUCUUCAUUCACUUUUCUCUUGAACUUCAAAAAUUUCAGCAAAAGGAAAUUAUGUUCAGGAGGAAGUUUUAUGGUGGUUCCUCAAGUAAGAAGGGUCCCCCUCUUUCUUUUCGGGAGCCCGAACCUUUUCAACUAAGGGACGCACCGGUACAACCAUCUGAAUGGCCUUCCGAUGAGUUCAUGAUUGAAGCAGGUUUCAAGGAUGAGUUUGAUACACUUGUCCGCAAUGCCGGGUUAGAAGAAUUCCUCUCAGAUAAGUGUGAACAGUAUGCUAUGCUCACUGCCUCUUUCGUGCGUAGAUUUAAAUUUUCAGUUGGCCGUGACUCAUCCAUACUGUUUGAUCUGUACGAUAAAUCUUAUACCGUGGAUUUGGAGGAUUUCAAUAGGAUUUGCAAGAUACCCGAUGGGGGUAGUAUUAAUGAUCCUUCUAAAUCUUCGGUCAGAGACUUUGUCUCUAGUAUAACUGUUGGAGAAACCAGAGAUAUCAUGCAAGCCACCAUAGGAAGCAUCCAUUUCCCUACCUUGCACUACCUUUCCCUCUUCAUAGGUAGGUGCAUUAACGGCAAGGGUGCACAUUGUCACCUAUGCGCUUCGGACCUUAGUAUCCUUAAGAGCGCAGUAACAGGUGACAGGCACUACAGGAAUCAACUUCUUUGCCGUCUGCCAUCACGGACGGCAAAGAGUAAAUCCCGGACAGCAAAGAGAAUAUCACAGACGGCAAAGAAUCUCACGGCCGACAAAAUUUCUGCGUCAGCCUACGACGGCAUCGUACCUUCUUUGCCGUCUGUCUCCCCAAAGCGGGCGACAAAGAGCUUUGCCGUCAGCUUUUCAUAGGAGCAGUUGGCAAAGUGAUCGAGACGGCAGCCAACAGGCGUUGCCUCCGUUAGGGGCUAACGGAGGCUUUGCCGUCUGCCUCCCCCUCUUCUUUGCCGUCUACCUCCCCCCCUCUUCUUUGCCGUCUGCCUCCCCCCUCUUCUUUGUUGUCUGCCUCCUCCUCCCCCCUCCACUCUUUGCCGUCUGCCUACCCCUCCCCCCUCCUCCGUGCCCUCUUCUUUGCCGUCUGCCCCCCUGGAAGCAGACGACAAAGAUACUAUAUGGCCAGCUACUACUGCCCAGGUUGCACAGCUGGGCGCCACGUGGCACCUUUGCCGUCGGCCAGCUGAUGGCAAAGGCCUUUGCCAUCAGCUAGCAGACGGAAAAGAGCCUAUAUUGUCACAUUUUUGUUUAUUUUUUCUAUUUCACAGCACAUAUACAUAUAAUUCAUAGCACAUAUAUGAUAAAUAGGUCACAACACAUAUAUGAUAUACAUAUAAAGCUCAUCAAUGCCAUUUGUUCAUCAACGUACAUCCCAUAUAUCAAAAGAACCAACACAUACAAAGUUUCAUCCAUAUAUACAUACAUAUAGUUGCACAUAUAUUGUUCAUCCAUAUAUACAUAUACAUAUAGUUCCACAUUGUUCAUCAACUCAAAUAAAAACGGAAACUAAAGCACUCCAAUGCCAGCUUCCAUGCAUGUAGUACAUCCAAUCUGCAAAAUGGGAAUAAGAAAGUAAGAAGAAGAAGAACAACAACAUAUAUAUGAAAAAUAAGCUAAAUUGAAGAAGAAAGAUAAGAAGGAAGAAGAGAACAAGGAGAAGAAAAACAAGAAGGAGGAGGAGGAGGAGGAGGAGGAGGGGAAGGGGAAGGAGAAGGAUAAGGAGGAGGAGAAGAAGAAAAAUAAGAGAAGGAGAAGGAGAAGGAGGAGGAGGAGAAGGAGGAGAGAAGAAGAAGGAGAAGAAGGAGGGCUAUUUCUUCUUCUUCUCCUCCUUCUCCUUCUUCUUCUCUUCUUCUCCUCCUCCUCCUUCUUCUUCUCCUUCUCCUUUUCCUUCUCUUCUUCUCUUCUUCUUCUUCUUCUUCCUUCUUUUCAUUUCUCCUAUUCUCCUCUUCUUGGAGCUAAAUUAGCUAACUAUAUAAUAUUAAUGAGCUAACCAAGGUUCUUAUGCCAUUUUGAGCUUAUAAUGUCUUUUAGGAGCUAAAUUGGCUAAUUAUAUCAUUGUUGGGGAAAUUAAGGAAGGAGAAUAUGAAAUAGGAGAAGAAAGAGGAGGAGGAGGAGAAGAAGAAGAAAUAAAGAAGAAGGAGGAGAAGGAGGAGGAGGAGGAGAAGGACUAGAAGGUCCUUGGCCUUCUCCUCUUUCUCCUCCUCCUCCUCCUCCUUCUCCUUCUUCUCUUCUUCUGCUUCUUCUUUCUUUUCAUUUUUCCUAUUUCUUCUCCUCUUCUCCUCUUGUUGGAGCUAAAUUAGCUAACUAUGUCUUUUUGGAGCUAAAUGGGCUAAUUAUCUCAUUUUAGAGGAAAACAAGCUAAGUAUAUAAUAUUAAUGAGCUAACCAAGGUUCUUAUGCCAUUUUGAGCUUAUUAUGGCAUUUUGGAGCUAAAUGGGUAAUUAUGUCAUUGUUGGGGAAAUUAAGGCAAGGAGAAUAUGAAAGAGGAGAAGAAAUAGGAGGAGGAGGAGAAGAAGAAGAAAUAAAGAAGAAGGAGGAGAAGGAGGAGGAGGAGGAGGAGGAGAAGGACUAGAAGGUCCUUAGGCCUUCUCCUCCUUCUCCUCCUCCUACUUCUUCUCUUGUUCUUCUUCUUCUUUCUUUUGAUUUUUCCUAUUUCUUCUCCUCUUCUUGGAGAUAAAUUAGCUAACUAUGUCUUUUUGGAGCUAAAUGGGCUAAUUAUGUCAUUGUUGGGGAAAUUAAGGCAAGGAGAAUAUGAAAGAGGAGAAGAGAAACUUACCGUAGUGGUCAUCAAGGAGGAGAAACACCUGGAGAAGGGUCGUGCAAUUUUCGCUCGAGAGUUAUUCUACACAAUAGAUAUUUUGCAAUGUCUCAGUUAGCAUGAUGACACUCAAUUAUUAAUACUAGUUUAUAAUGAAACUCACCGUGCCAAUCGAAGAGAAGACGGGCAUCGACGGAGGGACUUGACCGCUCUUCUCGCACAGACCCAGAAGAGUGGGUCGUAUUAGUUAGUAAUGAAACAAACAUUACACACAUGAUUUGGCUAAUGUGAAAAAAACUUACCACAAAAAGCUCGUACGGGGCCCGUUCACCCGCCUCAUUCUGAGACCUCUCCUCCUCAAUCAAUCAUGCCGUGGUCUGGUCCCUCUCAUCAAGAGCAGCCUGACUUGCCAAUCUCUCUUUCUCAAGAGCAGCCUCAAGAGCAGCCUGGCUUGCCAAUCUCUCUUUCUCAAGAGUAGCCUGGUUUUCCAAUCUCUCUUUCUGAAGAGCAGCCUGAAACACCAUUCCUCGUUACCACAGUAAUGAUCUAUGGUGACACACAUAAUGAAAUGGAUGAAAGUGUUCUUAGUCCUUACAACUAACCUCAAUGGCAAGAUCGACUGUCCGUGGACGAGCAUUAUCUCAGGACAGCUGCUCGACUGGCGCGCCUUGAUCUCCGGGAGAGUGAGUGGACAACGUAUUAUCCCAUCUCCAAUGGUUAUCGAUCCAUGGGGCCUCCCGCCACCAGAUAUCAUCACCAGCUCUGGAUCCAAAGGUUCCUGGCUAGGGUUAGAGUCAUCCCCUUCCGUAGCCUUCCCCGCAUCCCUGUAUGCCACGAGCUUCUGGUAGGAUGAUAUGUUGGUGAAGUUAUUGGGAUCAUCCAGGUCAGACUCAGAGAAUGCCUUCUCCUUCUUGUACGAGGCAGUAUGGGCCAUGCCAUAAAGGUCGUACAAGUGUGGCAUCUCCGUCUUAUUGUGAUGCGCCUAAAAGAGAGGAACAAAAUAUUAGCAUGAAGAAUGAAUUGCAUGAAUCAUGAAGCAAAUCACAUACCUAGUUUCGUCCGAACUGAAGUAAGUUGGCGCUGCCUUGAUGGUGUGGCACACCAACCAUUUGGCUACGCCGAUCCUUCGCAUUCUCGUGGACGGCUCACCAGCUGCCUGUGCACCACUCAUCAACCAACGCCUCCCAACAAUCCAUCUUAUCCGCACACCAUCUCGGGGGCACCUGUAAGUUAUUAGAAAGAAUUUUCAGCGCUACGCCUAUGAAUGAAAUCAAGAAAACUACGUAGAAGGACUUAAGAAUAGGUAAUUACCUUCAUGUAUUGCUCCUUCUUCAGAAACUUUCCACGACAAUCCUUCUUCUGCUUCUUAAUACCACAAGUGGCAUAGUAAUCUCGAAUAGCCUGCGGCCGAGCCUCGUGGCACAAGUUCUGUAGUAACCGCCUACACUCGGCCUCGAGAACCCUGGCCGCCUCCUCCUCAUAUCCAUUCUCACACCUAUAGAAGGUCUGCAAUCAAACGUGAAAACACCGAUUAGUACAAUAAUUAGCUAUAUUGUUAAUUUUAGAUUAUGUAAAAGGAUGAUUUACCCAAAAGCUCUUGAUCACCAUCUCGGCCCUUGUGUGGCACAAGACACCAUCUAUAAUCCCCUCCGGCGGGGCCUGCGCAGCCUGGUAGUGCUCCCAAGAAAAUCCUAGUGUAGGAACCUGACCCUCACCAGGCAACGUGACAAACCCCGGGAAAUUUGUCCGGAAAAGCACACCAAGGACGGAGUUCGGCCUGCGGACUCCAAGAGGGGGUACCCAUCCUCUGCAGUAUGAUAAGGUCAACGCAUUAGAUAUUUGAAGAAACUUGAAGGCAAAAGCUAAAAAAAGAGUAACUAUACUUACCUAUCUCCUUCAGGUUUAAUCACCGGCCUCUGCUCGCGGGUAGCCGACGCGACCGGGAGACGUGUACUACCACGCUUGUACACGGUGGCCCCGUCCACCUGCCCAUCGCCCUCACUAUCCGUAAGCUCAUCCCCGCCAUCCCCGCCCCCUGAGCCACCCGGACCCUCCGUCCAAUCCGGCAACUCGGUACGAUCCGGCCAGGUCUCCCAUCUGGGCCUCUCCACGUCGGGUGAAGCCUCCGGAACCGUAGUCUCGUGGGCGGAAUGCACCUCGACCCGAGGCUGCUCCUGGAUCGGAGUCUCAUGGGACGAACACCCGUCAACACCAGGCGCCUGGAACGGAGUUCCCGUAGCCUCCUCCGCAAACGGGUCGACCAUAGUACUCCUAUGCUCGGGUGAAUGAGCUGGUGGUGGUGGCGAGGACGGCUCAACAGUCCUCCUGGAUCUUCUGUGGCCACCACCUCUCCCUGUACCCUUCCCCUUCUUCCCUACCCGACCAACACCUCUCCAAGUGGGCAAUGCCACCGACGAAGAAGAACCCACGGGUGGUGUCGACAGACUGUCUGCCAAGGCUCUACGGAGAGAUAGGGGUGGAAGGGAAGUACCACCCCUCGUGCGGGGCGCUUGGGAAGAACCCGUUGAGCGAUCUGGACCAGCGCCCAUCAUCUUUCCACACCUGGUGACCUGCCAUGAUAAAGAUUAAAAGAAAUUAGUACAACAUAAAAAAAUUGAAUAACUUAUAUGAAUAAUAAUAUGUACAUGAAUAAUAAAGAUUAAAAAUAUAUAAUUUAAGUUGUGAAUCUUGCAAACUAAUAAUCAUCAUCAAUAAAUGCAUCAUCAUCAUCACUAUCACGCAUGUCUUCAUGAAUGACGUGCUCGUCGGGUUCAACGGCGUGAAGUUGUGAAAGGCCUUCCUUUUAUCGUUGAAGCAUUGACACGUCAUCCGCAUCAGUAACCUCUACGAGUUCCAGGUCUUCUGGUUCCGGCUCAGGGCUGGAGUCGGAUUUAUUGUCGCUGUCUACUUCCAUGUUCUUGGGUGAAGCACGACGGUUCUUGAAACGUUUCUUGGAAAGAUGUGUUUCUUGGAAGAAUUCUCCAUCAUAUGUGUCUGGGUUAAUGUGAGGUUCAUAAUCCUAUUCAUUUGGGAGAGGUGGUCUGACAUGUGGCGACACUUCAUAAACAACAUACCAACCUUCCAGAUUCUUAUCCAUUUGGCAUGCCCACGGUAGAUAGAAAACUUGGGUUGACUGUUGAGCUGUAAUAUAGACAUCGGGAACAUCUAAAUGGGUGUUUGGAUUGAUUUCGACUAGUCCUAUAUGUUCGUGAGUCCUUCUAGUCUUCUUCGGCUGGAACCAAUAACAUUUGAAGACUACGACGUUCGGUGGGUUUUCACCAUAGAAUUGAAGUUCAUAAAUUGCUUCAACUCUUCCAUAAUACUCGAUAACACCUUUGCCGAUAGUAGAGACACCACAUUUUGUAGAUUUCCGGUCGGGCAUAGAUAGCUCUUUGCCAAAGGUACGAAAGAGAUACCCGUUGAUGUUCUAUUUCUCAAAUGAACGGACCUUAUAGUCAAAACCAUUAGGGACUUGUCUCAAUUCGGCGUCCAUAGACUCUGAAUUAGCCUACAAGUUUAAUACGAAAUGAUUGUUGCAUUAGCCACAAGUUAGACCAAGAAAUGAAAAGGUCCAUUAUUGAUAAUUACCAUUUGUUUGAAACAAGACAUGAAAUCGGGAUAGCCGCCUCCCGUCUUUGACAGAAGCUCAUACUCUUCGACGGAAUCAUUUUCGAUCACCGCUCCAUCCGAGAAUUUGGCGACAUAACGACUGUUUGAAAUAUCCGGGAAUAAGAGUAGUUCAAAUGAAUUAGAAGUUACGGGAAAAUGUGCCGAGAACUCACUCGAUGUACGGCCGCACUUCUGUUAAGUUGUUGAAGAUAUACAACGAAAUGUUCCGGCAUUCUUCGACAUCCAACGUUAUUGGUUUCGAAGCACCGGCUGGUGCGAGCUUCCCUUUGAAUAGGCUGAGGUUGGACCCACCUUUUUUAGGGUCUGCAUCAUUGUGCUGAGGCUUCGGAUUAUGCAAAUGAUUAUUUUUAGCUUCGUAGUGUGCUGUCACAAAGUUUGCGACCUCCUCAGUAAUGAAUGCCUCACCAUCGAUGCUUCAAUUCUACGCUUAUUUUUACAAUUAGCUCGAAGGGUCUUCUGCAUCCUCUCAGUUGCAUAGCACCAACGAUCUUGCAUGGGCCCACCCAAUCUUGCCUCAGUCGGUAGAUGUAAAAUCAAAUGCUGCAUUGGAUUAAAGAAGCCUGGUGGAAAGAUCUUCUCUAACUUACACAACAACUCCGGUGCAAACUCCUCCAUGUCUUUUACCACGCCAGGCGACAAUUCUUUCACACAAAGAACACAGAAGAAAUAGCUCAGCUCCGCCAGUACUAGCCAUUCAUCCUCAGGAAUAAAGCCACGUAACAUCACCGACAUUACCCGCUCUAGCCAUAUGUGCCAAUCAUGACUCUAGAGACCAAAGAUUUUUAAUUUUUCAAGACUCGCUCCCCUCUUUAGAUUCGCUGCAUACCCAUCGGGAAACAUCAAGUGCAUUUUGACCCACAAGAUAAUUUCCCUCAUAGCUGGCCUUCCAAGAUUGAACCAGGCCUUUGGCUUCGACCACUUCUGCUUUCCUUUGCCUUCUCGCAUGUUUUGUAACGGUCUAUGACAUAGUGUCUCUUGAUCGACUCUAGCCUUAGUAUUAUCCUUUGUCUUCCCAUCUAUGUCGAACAAUGUACCAAAAAUAGCCUCUCCGAUAUUCUUUUUAGUGUGCAUCAUGUCGAUAUUGUGUGGAAGAAGGAGGUCUUUGAAGUAAGGCAGAUCCCAGAAGCAUGGCUUGUGAGUCCACGCAUGUUUUGAAUUAUACCCCUUGAAAUACCCUGGACGCUCUGGAUCAGGCUCGAGGGCGUUUAACUGAUCCAGGAUCUGUUGGCCUGUGAACGCAGGUGGUGCCAAGUUUUUGAUAACUUUACCUUUGGUAAAGUUCUUCUUGUCUUUUCUGAACUGAUGGUCAGGAUCGAGGAACUGUCUAUGCAAGUCAAAGCAAGAAUACUUCCGACCCUCCUACAACCGAUGAAACUGAAGAGCUGCCUUGCAUUGGGGCACGGGAACCUUCCAUGCACACACCAUCCAGAGAAUAGCGCAUACGCUGGCAAGUCAUGCAUAGAGUACAUGUACCACACAUGCAUUUUGAAGUUUUCUUUUCGAGCGGCAUCGUAUGUCUUGACCCCAUUAUCCCAAGCUUCUUCCAAUUCAUCCUUAAGUGCUUGCAGGUACACAUUCAUAUUCUUCCCCGGAUAAUUGGGCCCUGGAAUUACCAACGUCAGAAAUAUGUUCUUUCUUUGCAUAAUCUGCCCGGGGGGGGGGGGGGAGAUUGAGUGGAAUGACAAAUACAAGCCAACAACUGUAUUGGGUUGCCGUCAUGCCGAAGGGAUUAAAACCAUCUGUGGCGGCGCAGACUCGAGGAUUACUUGGAUCUGCCGCUUUAUCCUGAUGCAAUCCAUCGAAAUGUUUCCACGCUUCCCCAUCCGAUGUGUGUACCAUCAUCUUAUUCCCAUCCGCAUCUAGUUCGAUUCUUUUGCCCAAUUUGUGCCAUGUCAUCUGUCUGGCUGUCUCUUCGACCAUGAAAACACGUUGAAGUCUUGGUACGAUUGGCAUAUACCGAAGAACACUAACUGCGAUUUUGGUCUGCCUCUUCUCACCCAUACCGUUGUCUACCACAAGAUACGUGCAAGACUCGCAAUUGGGACAAUAGUCCAAGUGGGCAUACUCCUUCCUAAAUAAGACACAUCCUUUCUCACAUGCAUCUAUCUUCUCAUAGGGCAUCUUAAGUACACGAAGUAUUUUGUCCGACUGGUACAUGUUUGCAGGCAUGACAUGGCCUUUGGGUAGGAAGCGUCCAAAUAGUGUCAUCAUCGCGUCGUAGCAUUCUCUUCCCAAGUUGAACUGAGCCUUUAGAGCCAUUACUUGUGCAAUUGCAUCCAGCUGACAGAGCUCAGUGUGCUCAUGGAGAGGACAUUUUGAAGACUCCAACAUUUCAUAAAAGGCCGGUGCAGAUUCCUCCAUCUCAUCUUCCGAAUCCCGAGCAUCAUCAAAGUCUUGCACCAUGUCUUCGAUCCCGGUACCAUGCUCGUCCAUGCGACGACGGACCACCUCAGCUCUUGUGCGUUGUAUAGACUCACCAUGAAAUGUCCACACCGUAUAAUUAGGCUUAAAACCCCUCCUCUGCAGGUGUUUAGUCAUUACAGCCUCUGUUGUCUUUUUUAUAGUUGUCGCAUCCAGGACAGGGGCAAUAGUUUCUUUCCUGGCCAUUUGUGAAUGCGGCUUUCACAAAUUCCUUUGUUUUUACAAACCAUUCUUUCGUCAUCUCUUUCUGACUAGGGUGACCGGUAUACAUCCACGCACGAUUACUCAUCUUGCGUAGCUACUAAAGAUAGAAGAAAUAUAUUUAUAUAUAAUUUAGCAUUUAUAUUCAUCGGUUAAUCAGGUUCGCCAUUUUUAUUACGUCCAGGAAAUCUACACGCUAAUAGGUAAAGAUAGGUCCUAAUCCCACCCGAGUAUGUGUAGAUUGGGUUCGUUUUCCCAUGCUUUGCUCCGGAUCCAACGCAAAAUUUCGGCAGCACCUCCCCGCUGUUCUCCUGAUACACGUCUCCGCAAUAAACAGAGAGGAUGUGCAUCCGGAGAACAACAGGGAGGCACUGACAAAAUUCCACAUCGGAUCCAGAGCACAACAUACGGGAAAACGAACCCAAUCUACACAUACUCAGGUUGUCAAUGGAUAAUGUUGGACAAUUGGAAACGAUGGCGGUUAUAAAUAUGCAAAGACAUGCAUAUUUAUAGAUGUCGCCCUUUCGAACAGGAGACGCAUACUGGUCACGCAUACUGAUAAAUUAAUUUAAUUACCUAAAUCUAUAAAGUUUCAUCCGGAAACCGAGCCACAGUAAAUGAAGGGGCGGGGAGGAGAUGAAAUUUGUACUAACCCACGAAUGCAGGGGCGGAGCUCAUACAACGCACCGGCAGGUCUUCGCACAGCAGACCUCACAGCGACGAGACAACUAUCACAUGUAAAUCCACCCGAUCAACACAAAUAUUAUAAUUAUGUCAUUUUAGAGGAAAACAAGUUAAGAAUAUAAUAUUCAUGAGCUAACCAAGGUUUUUAUGCAAUUUUGUAGCUAAAUGGGCUAAUUAUCUCAUUGUUGGGGGAAAAUAAGGUCAGAAGAAUAAGAUAGGGGAGAAGAAAUAGGAGGAGGAUANNNNNNNNNNNNNNNNNNNNNNNNNNNNNNNNNNNNNNNNNNNNNNNNNNNNNNNNNNNNNNNNNNNNNNNNNNNNNNNNNNNNNNNNNNNNNNNNNNNNAAGACAUAGUUAGCUAAUUUAGCUCCAAGAAGAGGAGAAGAGGAGAAAUGAAAAGCAAGAACAAAAAUAAGAAGAGAAAGAGAAAGAGAAGGAGAAGGAGAAGGAGGAGGAGGAGAAGGAGAAGGAGGAGGAGGAGGAGGAGAAAGAGGAGAAGGCCAAGGACCUUCUAGUCCUUCUCCUCCUCCUCCUCCUUCUCCUCCUUCUUCUUUAUUUCUUCUUCUUCUCCUCCUCCUCCUCUUUCUUCUCCUAUUUCAUAUUCUCCUUGCCUUAAUUUCCCCAACAAUGACAUAAUUAGCCCAUUUAGCUCCAAAAUGCCAUAAUAACCUCAAAAUGGCAUAAGAACCUUGGUUAGCUCAUUAAUAUUAUAUACUUAGCUUGUUUUGCUCUAAAAUGGGAUAAUUAGCCCAUUUAGCUCCAAAAAGACAUAGUUAGCUAAUUUAGCUCCAAGAAGAGGAGAAGAGGAGAAGAAAUAGGAAAAAUGAAAAGAAAGAAGAAGAAGAAGAAGAAGAAGAAGAAGGAGAAGGAGGACGAGGAUGAGGUGAAGGAGGAGAAGGCCAAGGACCUUCUAGUCCUUCUCCUCCUCCUCCUCCNNNNNNNNNNNNNNNNNNNNNNNNNNNNNNNNNNNNNNNNNNNNNNNNNNNNNNNNNNNNNNNNNNNNNNNNNNNNNNNNNNNNNNNNNNNNNNNNNNNNCAACCGAGUGAAAAACGCACUGUGCGGCCAUGUGAUGAAGACACGCUCGGCGGAGUGACGGCGCGUGAGGCGGCCGAGUGAUGGAGACACGUCCAACCGAGCGGCGACAUGUGGGCGGACAAGUGAUGUAGACACGUCCAACAAAGUGGUGACGCGCGGGGCGUCCAUGUGAUGAAGACGCACUCGGAGGAGUGGCGAUGCGCGAGGCAUCUGAGUGAUGAAUACACAUCCAAAUGAGUGGCGACACACGAGGCGGCCAUGAGAUGAAGACACGCUCAGCGGAGUGACGACGCGCGAGGCAGUCGAGUGAUGGAGACACGUCCAAGCGAGGGGCAACGUGUUGGGUGCCCAAGUGAUGUAGGCGCAUCUAGCAGAGUGGCAAUGCGCGAGGUGGCCAUGUGAUGAAGACGCGCUUGGUGGAGUGGUGAUGCUUGAGUCAUGUGAGGGAUGAAGACACGUCCUGCUGAGUGGAGACCCACGGGGCGGCCAUGUAAUGAAGACACACUCAGCUGAGUGAGGGUGCGCAAGGCGGCGAGUGAUGGAGACGCGUCCAACCAAGUGGCGACGUGGUAGACAUGUGAGUGAUGAAGACGCGUACAACUGAGUGGCGAAACGCGGGGUGUCCAUGUGAUGAAGACGCUCUCGAAGGAGUGACGACGCGCUAGGCAUUAGAGUGAUGAAGACGCAUCCAGCUGAGUGGCGACGCGCGGGGCCGCCAUGUGAUGAAGACGCGCUCGAUGGAAUGAUGGCACGCAAGGUGGUCGAGUGAUGGAGAUGCGUACAACCGAGCGGCGACGUGCUAUGCGGUCAAGUGAUAUAGGCACGUCCAGCAGAGUGGUGACGUGCGGGGCAGCCAUGUGAUGAAGACGCUCCCGGCGGAGUGGCGAUGCGCGAGGCAUGUGAGUGAUGAAGAUGUGUCCAGCUGAGUGGCGACGCGCGGGGGCGUCCAUGUGAUGAAGACGUGCUUAGCAGAGUGAUGGCGCGCAAGGCGACCGAUNNNNNNNNNNNNNNNNNNNNNNNNNNNNNNNNNNNNNNNNNNNNNNNNNNNNNNNNNNNNNNNNNNNNNNNNNNNNNNNNNNNNNNNNNNNNNNNNNNNNACCCGACCGACCGUACCCGUCGGCGGCGGCGGUACGGGGCCCACGCCUAGCUAUGUCGUUCGUCGGGUCCCCCUGUCGUCCUCGUUUCGCCCUACCUCUUCCGACCUAUAAAUUCAAGAAAAAUUACCAAAAUUGCACGAGAGAUCCAAGAAAUUACUUUUCCGCUGCCGCACGCUUCUGUCUCCGCAAGAUCCCAUAUGGGGCACAUUCUGGUGCCCUGCCGGAGGGGGUAUUCGGAUACGGAGGGCUUCUUCAUCAACACCAUGACCUCUCCGAUGAUUCGUGAGUAGUUCACCAUAGACCUUCGAGUCCAUAGCUAGUAGCUAGAUGGCUUCUUCUCUCUCUUGGAUCUUCAAUACAAAGUUCUCCAUGAUCUUCAUGGAGACCUAUCCGAUGUAGUCUUCUUUGCGGUGUGUUUGUUGAGAUCCGAUGAAUUGUGGAUUUAUGAUCAGAUUAUCUAUGAAUCUUAUUUGAGUUUCUACUGAUCUCUUAUAUGCAUGAUUCCAUAUCCUUGUAAUUCUCUUCGAGUGGUGGGUUUUGUUUGGCCAACUUGAUCUAUGAUUCUUGCAAUGGGAGAAGUCCUUGGUUUUGGGUUCAUACCAUGCGGUGACCUCACCCAGUGACAGAUGGGGUAGAGAGGCACGCAUUGUGUUGUUGCCAUCAAGGGUAAAAAGAUGGGGUUUUCAUCAUUGGUUUGUGUUUAUCCCUCUACAUCAUGUCAUCUUGCUUAAAGCGUUACUCUGUUCGUCAUGAACUCAACGAGAUUAAUUGAAUCCUUGACAUAGAGGUUCAACUGAUAAAGAUCUUCGUAGAAUAUGUAGGAGCCAAUAUGGGCAUCCAGGUCCCGCUAUUGGUUAUUGGCCGUAGAGGUGUCUUGGUCAUGUCUGCAUAGUUCUCGAACCCGUAGGGUGUGCACACUUAAGGUUCGAUGACGUUUUGGUAUAGUUGAGUUAUAUGUGUUAGUAACCAGUGCGCUGGAUUCUUCUGAGGACCAAGUCUCUCUCUCUAAAAGAGAGAGGCUUGAUCUUUUUGCUGUGGUAGUAUCUCAACUUCUGUUGAUAGAUGGCCAUCCGGCUCAAGGCCAAGUCCCUUGCUUCUUCGAGGAGGUCCACACCGUCUUCUCUUGCCUCCAUAGCCUUUGUUUCUGUGUAUAGGGUGACCCGAGGCGAGUCGAACUCGAUAUCCGUGGGAAUAAUAGCCUCGGACCCGUAUACAAGAAAGAACGGAGUGAAGUCGGUCGACCGGUUGGGCGUGGUGCGGAGGCUCCAUAACACAGCCGACAGUUAUUCAAUCCAGCAGCUGGCGAAUCUGACCAGUGGUGCCACCAGUCUUUUCUUGAUGCCAGCUAGAAUCAGGCCGUUGGCCCUCUCUGCUUGGCCAUUCGACUGGGGAUGUGCCACUGACGUCUAAAUCGAGCCGGAUGCCUACCGUUGGAACGGUAGAGCGCCAGAGUGCCUUUGGCGAAGUUGGUGCUGUUGUCGGUGAUGAUGCUGUGGGGAACGGCCAUAUCGAACAGAGAUGUCCGUGAUGAACCUGACGGUUGUGGGGGNNNNNNNNNNNNNNNNNNNNNNNNNNNNNNNNNNNNNNNNNNNNNNNNNNNNNNNNNNNNNNNNNNNNNNNNNNNNNNNNNNNNNNNNNNNNNNNNNNNNUAUGAGCCAACGAAACCAUCAUUUAGGGUGCGCGCUUGAGCUUUCUGAUUCGCCCCAUCCUGUUGCGACCUUAUGAGCCGACGAAACCAUCAUUUCGGGUGCGCGCUUGAGCUUUCUGACUCGCCCCAUCCUGUCGCGACCUUAGAGCCGACGAAACCAUCAUCUAGGGUGGCACUUUAGCUUUCUGACUCGCCCCAUCCUGUCGCGACCUUAUGAGCCGACGAAACCAUCAUCUAGGGUGGCUCUUGAGCUUUCUGACUCGCCCCAUCCUGUCGCGACCUUAUGAGCCAACGAAACCAUCAUUUAGGGUGCGCGCUUGAGCUUUCUGACUCGCCCCACCUGUCGCGACCUUAUGAGCCGACGAAAUCAUCUGGGGUGCGCUUGAGCUUUCUGACUCGCCCCAUCCUGUCGCGACCUUAUGAGCCGACGAAAUUGUUAUUUUUUAUUUAUUUACCUUCCUGGCACUGCCACAAGGUUUUUCCAAACUUUUUCCUGAUUCAUCUUGAAAUAUUUUGGGUCGAUUGCUAUUUAUUAUCGCCCAUUACUCACUGAGGUGCUAGCCACCGUGACUCACUGAGCCGGCUUAUUUAAAAUAGCUUGAUGCCAUACUUAUCAUAUCAUAUACAUGCAUCAUCUUGCAUUGCAUCAUGCAUCAUACAUACAUAUCAUGCCGGUCUUCAAACCGGAUCAACGCAUAAAUUCUUGCAGGUGCAAAUAAAUCUUUGAAUAGCCAAUUUGGCUGGAUUUUCAUCAUGGUUUAUCAUAACCAGUGUUAAAUGAUUGUGGUUUUUAAGGCCAGCUCGGAAGAAUUGACUAUUGUCGAAGAGCCGCCCUAUCACAUAUAAUGCCGAGUCAUCUAAUUGACCGGCCCUUGGAUUUCUUCAACUUGUGCUCUGUAGUAGACUACAACACUUAUGGAUUUCUCAAACAUAUGGAUUUCUCAAAGGAUAUAUUUUCCGGGUUACAUUGCAAACCACGGUCGAGGAUUUCUUUUAUCACAAAGGCAUCAUCAGCUCACAGAUUGGAUAUGAUUUUAUUCUACAAUGGAAGGAAUAGCCCCGAGUCGCUACAGGCACGCAACCCGACACUCGGGGGCUACAUUAUUCAGAUCAAGAUUACAUCAAAGUAUGCAAGUCCCAUGUCGCUGCAAGCAUGCACCAUGACACUUGGGGGCUAAUGCAAUCCGCUUUUCAAAUGAUCACAUCAUCAACAGACCCGACUAUUUCAAGAAGAUAAGCCGGCCCUAGGGGGCUACAGGUCGCUCAUUGUUCAAGUAUGGAUUCUAGGAAGAUCCGGCCCAUCACACACUGAUAACCCGGCCCUUGGGGGCUACAGGUAACAUGGAUAUAUCAAAAAAUUGAAGAGCACAUUUCAUUGUGUCAUGGAGGUGAAGUAUUGGGAGACCGGUUCAGCAUAUUUUUAUGUAGUUGAAGCACCGAAAGACCGGCUCAACAUCAGACGGAUUUGUCAAUUGGAGUUCAGUUGUUUGACGGGGCACUACUAAUAAUGAUGACCCGCCAUUGUCAAUCAUGACCCGCCAUUGUCAAUCAUAACCCGCCGAAGCAAGAGAAGCUAGUUCAACAUUGUGUGGAUUUCUUAUUUCCCAAAUUUUCAUCAAGCCAAAGCAUUGGAGGCCGACUCAAUGGCAUAUGUAUUUUAUUGCAAAGGACAUGUCUCAACAAUGAGAUGAUUGAAGGCGGCUCGAAGAAACCCAGAUUUUUCAAGGAGCCACUUCAGUAAAUCAAGCCGGCCAGAGGAGCAAGCCGGUCCCUUAACUUAUUUAUUAUUCUUAUUUCAGGAGCUUACCAUGAAUAAAUUCAAGCUAACCUUGGGGGCUAAUGUCGGGGAUAUACCCCGCAGUGUAACCCGGCUUGGAGUAUGACCCGCCAAAGGACUUGGCGACUCANNNNNNNNNNNNNNNNNNNNNNNNNNNNNNNNNNNNNNNNNNNNNNNNNNNNNNNNNNNNNNNNNNNNNNNNNNNNNNNNNNNNNNNNNNNNNNNNNNNNUCACCGUUGCUAGCCUCUCUAGUGCCGCGCAACUUUCGCCAGUGCACAAAACCACCAUAUACCUUCCUCAAAACAGCCACCAUACCUACCUAUCAUGGCCUUUUCAUAGCCAUUCCGAGAUAUAUUGCCAUGAAACUCCCACCGUUCCGUCUCAUGACUUGUGCGGUAAGCUAGCGAGAUGUUUCAACGGCAUACGCUAAGCUAGAUCAUUGCACAUCCGGGUACACUGUCGGAGGCAUUUCCUAUAGAGUCAUCAUUGCUCUAAGUAUUGAGUUGUGAGUAAAUAAAAGUGUGAUGAUCAUCAUUAUUAGAGCAUUGUCCCAUGUGAGGAAAUAAAAAAGAAGAGGCCAAAGAUGCCCACCAAAAAAAUGAAAAGAGGCCAAAGAGCCCAAAAAAAGAGAGAGAAAAAGAGAGAAGGGACAAUGCUACUAUCUUUUUCCACACUUGUGCUUCAAAAUAGCACCAUGUUCUUCAUGAUUGAGAGUCUCUUGUUUUGUCACCUCCUUAUACUAGUGGGAAUCUUCAUUAUAUAACUUGGCUUGUAUAUUCCAAUGAUGGGCUUCCUCAAAAUUUCCCUAGGUCUUCGUGAGCAAGCAAGUUGGGUGCACACCCACUAGUUCUCCUUUUGAGCUUUCACUCACUUAUAGCUCUAAGUGCAUCCGUUGCAUGGUAACCCCUACUCAUUCACAUUGAUAUCUAUUGAUGGGCAUCUCCAUAGCCCUCUGAUACGCCGAUUCGAUGUGACCAUCUCCUUAUUUUUGCCUCACAACCUCAACCACACUCUAUUCCACCUAUAGUGCUAUAUCCAUGGAUCACGCUCAUGUAUUGCGUGAGAGUUGAAAAAGUUCGAGAAAGUAAGAGUGCGAAAACAAUUACUUGGCUAAUACCGGGGUUGUGCAUGAUUUAAAUUUGUUGUGUGGGGAUAAUGGAGCAUAGCCAUACUAUAUGAUUUUGUAGGGAUAACUUUCUUCGGCCUUGUUAUUUCGAAAGUUCAUGAUUACCUUGCUAGUUUGCUUGAAGUAUUAUUGUUUUCAUGUCAAUAGAAAACUAUUUUUUUGAAUCUUACGGAUCUGAACAUUCAUGUCACAUGAAAAGAAGUUACAAAGGACAAAUAUGUUAGGUAGCAUUCCACAUCAAAAAUUCAGUCUUUAUCACUUCCCUACUCGAGGACGAGCAGGAUUUAAGCUUGGGGAUGCUUGCUACGUCUCCAACGUAUCUAUAAUUUUUGAUGGUUCCAUGCUAUUAUAUUGUCAACUUUGGAUGUUUUGUAUGCAUUUUAUAUCUUCUUGGGACUAACCGAUUAACUCAGUGCCAAGUGCUAGUUCCUGUUUUUUCCGUGUUUUUGACCUUUUUCAGAGGAGAAUAUCAAACGGAGUCCAAACGGAAUAAAACCUCCGGAAAGAUUUUUUUCCCGAAACAGAAGAUACGCAGGGAACUUGAGAACCAAGGCAAAGGGCUCCGGGNNNNNNNNNNGAGGCCACAAGCCCCCUAGCCGCGGUCUGGGGGCACGCCUAGCAGGCUUGUGGGCCCCCCAUGGCUCCUUUGCCCUACCUCUUCCGCCUAUAAAUUACCUAAAAAUCUGAAACCACGGGAGAGAGCCACGAAAUACUUUUCCGCCGCCGCAAGCUUCUGUCUCCGCAAGAUCCCAUCUGGGGACCGUUCUGGUGCCUUGUUGGAGGGGGGUUCGGACACGGAGGGCUUCUUCAUCAACACCAUUGCUUCUCCGAUGGUGCGUGAGUAGUUCACCACACACCUUCGGGUCCAUAGCUAGUAGCUAGAUGGCUUCUUCUCUCUCUUGGAUCUUCAAUACAAAGUUCUCCAUNNNNNNNNNNGAUUAUCUAUGAAUCUUAUUUGAGUCUCCUCUGAUCUCUUAUAUGCAUGAUUUCAUAUCCUUGUAAUUCUCUUCGAGUUGUGGGUUUCGUNNNNNNNNNNGAUCUUCAUGGAGAUCUAUCCGAUGUAAUCCUAUUUUGUGGUGUGUUUAUCGAGAUCCGAUGAAUUGUGGAUUUAUGAUCAUAUUAUCUAUGAAUCUUAUUUGAGUCUCCUCUGAUCUCUUACAUGCAUGAUUUCAUAUCCUUGUAAUUCUCUUCGAGUUGUGGGUUUCGUUUGGCCAACUUGAUCUAUAAUUCUUGCAAUGGGAGAAGUGCUUUGGGUUCAUACCGUGCGGUGACCUCACCCAGUGACAGAAGGGCUAGCGAGGCACGCAUCAUGUUUUUGCCAUCAAGGGUAAAAAGAUGGGAUUUAUAUCUAUUGCAUGAAUUUAUCCCUCUACAUCAUGUCAUCUUGCUUAAGGCGUUACUCUGUUUGUUAUUAACUCAAUACACUAGAUGCAUGCUGGAUAGCGGUCGAUGUGUGGAGUANNNNNNNNNNGGUUUUGGGUUCAUACCGUGCGGUGACCUCAUCCAGUGACAGAAGGGGUAGCGAGGCACACAUCAUGUUGUUUCCAUCAAGGGUAAAAAUAUGGGGUUUAUAUCUAUUGCAUGAAUUUAUCCCUCCACAUCAUGUCAUCUUGCUUAAGGUGUUACUCUGUUUGUUAUGAACUCAAUACACUAAAUGCAUUUGGAUAGCAGUCGAUGUGUGGAGUAAUCGUAGUAGAUGCAAAAAGUAUUGGUCUACUUGUCUCGGACGUGAUGCCUAUAUGUAAUUCGUUCACCCACCGUAAUAUCGUCAUGACUUUGCGCGGUUCUAUCAAUUGCUCGACAGUAAUUCNNNNNNNNNNAUCGUAGUAGAUGCAGAAAGUAUCGGUCUACUUGUCUCAGACGUGAUGCCUAUAUGUAUGAUCAUUGCCUUAGAUAUCGUCAUGACUUUGCGCGGUUCUAUCAAUUGCUCGACAGUAAUUCGUUCACCCACCUUAAUAUUUGCUAUCUUGAGAGAAGCCUCUAGUGAACACUAUGGCCCCCGGGUCUACUUCACAUCAUAUUUUCUGCUCUACACUUUUACUUUGUUGCACUUUCCACCUUCAUAUCUCACCUUGCAGUUAACCGUGAAGGGAUUGACAACCCCUUUGUAGCGUUGGGUGCAAGUUUGCUUGUUUUGGGCAGGUACUUUGGAGACUUGCCUUGAUACUCCUACUAGAUUGAUACCUUGGUUCUCAAACUGAGGGAAAUACUUACUGCUACUGUGCUGCAUCACCCUUUCCUCUUCGAGGGAAAAACCAACGCAAGCUCAAGAGGUAGCAAGAAGNNNNNNNNNNNNNNNNNNNNNNNNNNNNNNNNNNNNNNNNNNNNNNNNNNNNNNNNNNNNNNNNNNNNNNNNNNNNNNNNNNNNNNNNNNNNNNNNNNNNUUGUCAAAGGGCUUUGCACCACCUACCCAUCAACACCAUUCACCAUGCCCACAAAAAAAGAGAAAAACUACUACAAUUCACCAUUGCUGACCCUGCUUAAAAUUGUCAACCAUCCCCGGGCACCACUUGGCACACAUGUUGCACGACAACAACCUCCUGCCAGAAAACCUAUCCACGAGCGGAAUUAUUCCAUCUGCACCUAGAUUAUUACACUUAGGAAUUAUGAGUCGUACGUGUGAGACUCCGACAUGACGGGGUCCAAACACCUGUAGAGGAAAUUCGGACAACCGGAUGUGUCCAUGGACUCGAUGAGGUAUCAUGUUACAUGACAAACAACAUUGGAAGAGCUUGGCCCGAAUGUAUGCGGGCAUUUUAGGGUCGGCGUUGGAGAUGCCCUUAUCGAGGGAGCUUUGCCUUUUCAUUAAUAAGAAGAAUAGAUCCAUCCAAAAAACAAAAAAAAGGUGAGAAAAACUAGUUACAAGCAAUUGCAGCCGAAUACACAUUUUUAAGGGGAGAAAAGACACUUUCUUACGGUCUUAAUUUGACUAUUAGCGAAAUGUUUAAUAAAAGGAAACGUUUACGAUCGACACGUUGGCCGAACGAUCCAGCCGGACGCGCGCUACGCGUAGGAUCCAUAUGGAUCGAACGCGUCCCAUGGGCCUCCCGCCCCCCGCUGCCCCCUUUUCCCCUUAUCCCCUUGUGUUGUUUCUGGCCAGAAAAAUGUCCCCACCGUGUUCGAUCCAUAUGGAUCCCUUCUGUUAUUUCUGCCCAGCUGUCCCUCUCCGUGCACAUCCCUAUCCAUUGGUCCUGCCCACCUCUUAUCUCUCUCUCCACCUCCCGCGUUUGUGUUGCACUGCUCCUUGCUCCUUUUUUUCUUCCUCGGAAACAUGCAGGCGGCACGAAGCCAUCCACCUCCUACAUGCUAUGUGCCGCAGUCGCCCAGUGCCAUAACUCCUCGUCCAUCAAAGCUGCCACGGCUGUCACCGGGUGCUGCAAGGGAGCAGACCAUGCGGGGGAUGCUCCAACACUUAGAAGGUGCUUGGAUCCAAAAGACUAAAACUAGUCUGACUAAAACUAGUCUCUUUAAGAGGCUAAAGUUCCAAGCACCCCUGACUAAAGAGAGACUAAAACUAGACUUGAGGCUAAAAUCUUUUAGUCAGGGAUACCCCUACUAAAAUGUGCAUUAGUCCUCUCUCUCCUCAUUUAACUCCUCAGGCAAGUUCUGGAUUGGAGGGUUUGAAGGAUAAUAAAUGUUUAUUAACUUGAUUUUAGUCUUUUUAGUACUUGAAUCCAAGCAUGGAUGAGGCUAGCAAGUUUUAGUCUCAUUACUUUUAGUCAUGGGACUAAAACAUAUCCAAGCACCCUCUUACUGGGGCGGGCGACAUGACCCAGCGGCAUCGUUUUGCUACAAACAACAAGGUGUUUUGUUGAACUAGCGACACCAAUUGCUGGAACCGUGCACACAGGAGCUGCAAACAUACACCCACGGACUGCACCUGCCGCCGACGAUGUCGGCGAAAAUGUUACAACCAUGUAUCAUGGAAGCUACAACCAUCUCUCGGAAAAAGCUACAACGAUGCACACGGGAGCUACAACCGGCAACGCCAUCGUCGGGAAAAUGCUUCAACCGUGUCCCGCACAAGCUACAUCCACAUACGUCACAGCUGCAAUCAUUUCGGUGUUGCUACAACAGUGUCACCAGAGCUACAACCGGCGACGUUGUCAUCACAAAAAUGCAUGAACCGUGUAGUGAAGAAGUUACAUCCAUGCGCAGCAGAGGUGCAAGCAUUUUGUGGCAACGCUACAGCCGUGUUGCCAGAGCUGCGAUGCAGGGCAAGCCAUGAUGCUGACGACCAUCGGUGUGUGGAGCUUCGCGACCAACGCCGCCGCUAUCAUGAUUCCCGUAUGAUGGAACCAAGCGGCAACAGAGUUACAACCUUGACAACAAAAACUAUUUUUGUAAAACCAGGAAGGAUGUGUUUCAAUCGCUACCGGUUAUGGAAGCGACAAGCCUGCCUGCGGUGUUGGUUCGAGGACUACAAGGCAGCAGCAACGGCAACGAGUUGUGGCGCGUGAGGUGGAUGUAGCCUACAACGCAGAAUAAGGACCCACGCAGGUCUAUUUCUGUUACGGGACGAAGCUAUUUGAAGAAGAAGAUAAGAUGACGUGGGUUGCAGGAUCGGGCGACUACAGAAUGCCUAAUAUGACACUGGCCGAACCCUUGGGCCGGUCCGCCGGCGCCUGCCGCCUAGCGAUCCCCUUUAAUAAAAGGUUUUCAGAGGGCUUCACACCAUCUACCCAUCAACACCAUUCACAAUUUCCCUAAAAAAACUACUACAAUUCACCGUUGCUGACCUUGUUUAAAACUGUCAGCCAUCCCCGACACCACUUAACACACGUGCUGCAGGUGCAGGACAGCAACCUCCUGCCAGAAAAUCUAUCCACGGAAUCUGCACCUAGUGUCAUACUCUCUGUGUAAAAAAAUAUAAGAGCAUUUAAAUCAUUACUUUAAUAAUCUAAACAUUUUUAUAUUUUUUUACGAAGGGAAUACUUAUAACCAUACGAACAUGAGGAAUACUUAUAACCAUACGAACAUGUCCAAUCAAUCAAUAAUCUACCGCUCGCCAUUGUUGACCCAAAACUGCCAACAAAACGGUCCCUCCCAACCACAUUGCAGUUGGCACAUGCUGGCCCGAGACGGCUAACCGCCAGGAUGCGUGCAGCUGCUUGUUGUUCCCUCCAAUAAUUGGAGCAGCAAACUUUACAGGAUCGAGAAAGGUUUUCCAAGCCAACAGCACGCGCUAUUCUUCUCACCACUUUUGUUAUCAUAGGUAUAUGAAUAAUGUAGCAUUCAUACAAAGCACAAGCCACUCGCUUUUCAGUUCACUGGUCUGCAAUGCACCGGCAGCACCGUAAGACGAGGAAUAUCACAGCCAAUCUGCAUACCACUUCCAGAAAACGCCAUCAAGAAUCAGACCAGAGCCAUCAUGCAUGUCUUGCCAUGCCAUGUCAUGCCAUGAUGCCCAUGGCUGUGAUCGGAGCGAUCCGCACACUAUGUUCAACUCCUCCUCCCCCAUCUUCAGACAACAGCUACCCUUCAUACGGCCUGCAGACCGAGCGUCCGGUCCAUCCACCUGAUGAUGUCGGCGGCGAUCUCGUCGCGCUCGGGUUCGAAGAGCAGGUCGUGCAGGAACCCCUCGUACAGCCGCAGGUCCUUGUGCCUCGACGCCGCCUCCCUGUAGAGCUCCUGCGAGGCCAGCGGGUCCGUCACCCGGUCCGCCGUGCCGUGCAGGACUACAAACGGGACAGUCACCUUCUUCAGGUUGUGCAGCAGGUAGGAGGAGAUGCGCAGGAUCUCGUGGCCCGUACGGACCCUGAUCGGCCCCGUGUAGACCAGCGGGUCAGAGUACUUUGCUAGCAGCGCCGCAGGGUCGCGGGACACCGGGAUGCCCCGCUUGUUGGCUCCCUUGAAUUGGAACUUGGGUGCAAUCAGAGAGAAUAUCGGUGCCACUGCCUGCAUUUGAUUCAGAUGAGUCUCAGUG
rnacentral:lncRNA from 1 species